rnacentral:lncRNA from 1 species
GGGGUUUUUGCAGAUUUUCAAAUAAAACUCAGAGAUUCCUUGUAUGAUUCUCUCAGGUCUCUCUUUUGUGAUAUUUUUGGAUCCUUACCAAGGCAUUGAUGGUAUAUGCCUUCUCUCAAGAUAUGUGGUAUUUGUGGUAUAAAGCAUAAUGACAUUGUCUUCUCUCUCACUCUAUUCUAAUAAGGCUUUAAUAUCUGGAGCUCAUAGGUGGGAGAUAAAAUAUACAUACUUACAAGACAUUUAUUGCAUAGUCAAACCAUGGAUCCAAAGUAACAAGUCAAUAAGUUUAAUCAAGAUGUGCAUGUGUGGCGAAUGAAUGGUGUAUGGUGAUGAUGGUGAUAACAAUGGUGAAAACAAUGGUGGUGGAAGUCUAAUUCUACUUUGCUCUUUAAGGGGAUACAUACCUUCCUUGCUUUUGAAACUUUAUGAUGAGAAUGAGAUGCUCUAUCUUUUUCUUGUCUCUCAGGUGGGUAUCUUGUACCCCUAAUUCUACUGUCGGACACUUGUCCAUUUUUACCUCUCGUCUCACUUUUUCUUUUCUUUCGAGGUUCCGAGCACUUGCUCCUUUUUAUUUCCUCGUAUUAUUUCUCCCUUUUUUUUAGAGCAUUCAUCUCUUGAGAUAAUAUAGCAAGUGGUAGUAACAAGAUAACUUGAGCAUUUAUUUCACAAGGGGAAACAGAAAUAUUUUUGGUUAUUCUCUCCUGGAUUAGGAGUAGAAUAUUUUCAGGUGGUUCUGGAGAUGGAAUGGGUGGAUAUAUGUGGAUGGUACUUCCGGAGUAGAAGUAGCAUAUAUGAGUGAACGUGCAAGUGAAAUCUUGAUUUAACCACAUGACAAGCUCCUAAGGGUCUACACAGCUUGACCACACUCAAUGCUCGUAAGCAGUAAAUAAUAAAUGUGUGGCUCAAGGUCUAGCAAGCAUGUAUAUAUGGCUGUGGUAGGAAUUUAAACUCUCAUCAUACAGGAACUCAUCAUGCAACAUUUUAAAGAUUUUCAAAGAUAAAAUUCUCCAAAAUUCUAGCAUCUCUAGGAACAGAUAAACAGCAGCUCAGCCUUUCCAUAUCGUAUCCGUUAACAACUUAGACUUCAGAUCAAGUUUUCAUCCCACAAGUUUAGGUCUAGAGUAAGCUUUAAAUUAUAACAGUUAUAUCUAAACUUGAGAGAGAACUUAAAAUGUGCAAAUUAGGCAGAGCAACUUUUCAUCAUAUCCAUGCUUAAGUUUUAUUUAGAUACAGAUUAGCAUAGCCACUUUAUUUAUUUAUUAAACACACUAAGCAAAAUAUAUAUAAGCAUAAAAUCUUUAUUUGGUUUUCCCAUAGUUUAUGUGUAUUAAUAUUCUAAUAUAGUAUAAGUAAUAAGAUAGAUAGAAAUACUUAUUGGGAUAAACGGGGGUGCUUUCCCCCAAGCUGAAUUUUGACGUAAUUUCUCUUGAUGUAGCUAGCAGGUGGCAGAGGUGUGUUUGAAAGUCAGCAGCAUUCUGACAGCGAUUAGAAUGUCCUCCGUCUGCUAGUCUUCUUGAUUCUUAAAUUCUGUGGAGCUCAAAUAGACAACAAAGCUUGUGGAACUGAUUAAGUGUUAGCAUAAAUAUCUAGCUUUUAUCAUCUUGAGACUCCUUAGUAAAUAUUACUCCCUGUUUUUAUAUUUUUAUUUUUAUUUUUAUAAAGCAGAAAAAUAUUUAUUUUAUUUUUAUGCCACCACAGUGAAUGUACUUAUGGGUUUUAUGCCACUUGUCUACUCACAUGGGGCUUACUGUUUUUCACAUUUUUAUUUUCUUUUAUUUUUAAGAUAGUAUGAAUAUGAUUAACUAAGUAAACUAUUUAAAAUAAUUGAAAGGAAAAGGGUAACUACCAAGUUUACCUCUUGGCAAGGCGUUCGGUGUUUUUAAGUCCUCCGAACGGAACUCUCCAUUUUCUCAAUCGUCCUGAGGUUCGUUGGGUGGCGUAGUCGGUACUUCCGGCAGCGCCUCCUCUUCUUGUAUAGUUAUCUUCAUUUUCCAUACCUGACUCGGUGCUUCAAUCUCCUCUGGAUAAUUCUGUUUAAACUCUACGUUUUCUGACCUUACAACUUCUCCUUCAUAGUCUGCCCAUCCGUCCUUGAUGAUCUGCCUCCUCUGGUUGUGGUUGCGUCUCUUUCUGACCUGCUUAGAUUCUUCAACGAUAUAGUCAGGGUCAGUAAAAUAACGGCGUACCUUCUCUGAGGGGAAGUGCAUAUGGACUUCUCCGGUUCCAAUGUAGAUAAUUGCUUUAACAGUGCUGAGGAACGGUCUUCCAAGGAUGAUGGGUGGAUCAUAUUCAUCUUCUCCCAUGUCAACAACUUGAAAGUCUGUGUAGACAAAGUGAUCGUCUAUUUUGACUGGGACAUCAGAUACUAUUCCUUUAACUUCUUGAAAUGUCUGAUCUGCCAUCUGGAGUUGAAUGUAUGUUGGUCUUAGUGGCAUGGUUCCGAACAAGAGCCGAUAGGUGACUGCGGCCAUUAUGUUGACGCCCGAUCCGGUGUCACAAAUUGUCUUGUAGAAGUUGUAUCCAUUUAUGGAGCAGUAAAUGCUUGGCAUUCCUGGGUCGUCCUUCUUGGUCAAAAACGGUGACUUCAGUUGGUGAUCUUGGCCUCCAUGGACUACAGUGACCAUCUUAGCUGACUCGGUCCACACUUGCUUGUUCCUGUUCCUCCUGUUGGUCCUCUUCCUUGAUUCACGUCUGGAUUGAUUUGGAAUUUGUGUAGUCUUGUUCUUGAAGAAAAAUGUUUCCUUCUUCCCUUUGACGUAGAAACUGAUCUUGGCAGUACUAGCGUAGAUGAUAGCUCCCGUGGUGUUCAAGAAUGGCCUUCCUAGGAUGAUAGGUGCUCUCUCAUCAUUUCCAGUCUCUACCACUACGAAGUCUGCUGGGGCAUACAAGGUACCAACUCGGACACAAAGGUUCCUCACUAUUCCUUUUGGAAAAGUUAUCGUCUGAUCUGCAAACUGCAAACACAUGGUUGUCUCUAAUAAAGGAUAUGUAAAGAAUUUUUCAUAGAGUACCCUGGGUAUAAUGUUGACACUGGAGCCAAAGUCACAGAGUGCUUCUAGGACAUCCACCAUGCCGAUAGAGAUCGGGAUGACGGGGCGUCCUGGAUCGCCUCUCUUGACCGGCAGACGGUCAGUAGAAAAUUCAUUGACGGGGUUACUCCAAUUACCUGCAUCAAACACGUCUACAAGAUUUGCAGAUUCUAAUCCUUCCGGUUGUGAUGGUAUACCGGGGUUAGUAGUAGGAACAGCAGCAGCUAUUUGAUUUAACUGAGAUUCAAUCAUUUUAUUAAAGCUAAUUUGAUUCUUGAUGGCAGUAGAGAAAUUAUCCAUUCUAUUAUUUAUAUUUUCUAGCAUUAUAUCAUUAGAUGCCAAUUUCUUAGAUAGAUUAUCCAUUAGCUUUCCUUGAUUAGACACUAACUCUCUCAAAGGUGGAAAAUUGUUAUUGUUGUUGUAAGAAUUGUUACCUUGAUAAUUACCUGAGUAGUUAGGCCUCUGUUGAUUCCAACCUUGAUUUUGUUGAGGACGGUUGUAGUAGUAGUUGUUGUUGUUGAUGUAGUUCACAUCCUCAAGUAUCUCAGGGCAGUGGUUGCCUGAGUGUCCAGUGUCUCCACACUCCUCACAAGUCAUGUGAGAAUCGUAGAUGUGCAUAACUUCUUUCUUGUCUCCAGCUCUAUCGUCGAGCUUCUUCAUGAGCAGGUCUAGCUUUGCAGACAGCAUGUCUACCUCCUUCAGCUGAUGCAUACCUCCACCUCUCUUGCGUGUCUGGGUCCUCUCUUCAUUCCAGCUUUGAUUGGACGCCAUCUUCUCCACAAGAGCUGUGGCUUGUGGUAUAGUAAGUGAUAAGAAUGCUCCUCCAGCUGCAGCAUCCAUGGUCUCUCGGGCACUGUUACUGAGCCCAUGAUAGAAUGUCUGCAUCAAUAGCCAACUCUCCAUUCCAUGAUGGGGACAUUCUAGGAUGUAGUCUUGAAAGCGCUCCCAUGCUUCUGGAACAGAUUCAUCAUUUUGUUGCUGAAAACAUGUAAUCUUCCCACGGAGAGCAUUGGUCUUGCCCAUGGGAAAGAACUUUGCUAGGAAGUUUGUUGAGCAGAGUGCCCACGUAGUAUUCUUCUCCUUUGUAGCGUAGAACCACUGCUUCGCUCUUUCUAAUAGUGAGAAAGGAAAGAGGCGAAGUAGUAUAGCGUCUUUGGAAACUCCUGCUAUGGUGAAUGUGUUGCAAAUCUCCAGGAAGUGUUGUAAAUGAGCACUAGCAUCUUCAUGUGCCCUCCCACAGAACUGGUUGGAUUGCACCAUGUUGAUAAGUCCAGGCUUGAGCUCAAAGUUGCCAUCGAUCUCUGCAGCAGGUCCAGUGCGGAUGUUGUCCGUAGUGGGAGCUGAGAACUCGCGGAUUGAUUUGUUCGCCAUGACUUCGAACUCUGAAGACAAGUUCCGGUGAUCUUCUUGAUUGGAUGAAGCUUCUUCGUGAAGUGUUGAUGAUUUUUUUAGCUUGGCUCUCGUCUUCUUGAAUAAUGCUUCAGGAUCGUCAACAAAAUUUCCUGGAAGAUGUCUUCUAUUCAUACAUUCCCCUGCAUAAGAUAAAAUAGAAAAAUAUCGGGGUAAAACUGUAUGGGAGAAUAGAUAAGCUCAAUCAUAUUAGUGAUGCGAAUGAUAACUCAAAAUCUUUUAUUCCAUUCCUGAUUGGUAAUCAACCUUCCCCGGCAACGGCGCAAAAAAUGCUUGUUGGGUAUUCUUAACAUCAUUACUAAAAGUAGACUAAGUUCUAAAUCUAGCAAUGGUGCCAAAAAUGCCAAACCUAUCCCUUACACCACUUAAGCCAAGUUGUCAUCCCCAGCAUGAUAUAAGAGACGCGGUAUUGAAAUAUGCAAUUGCUCUUCUAAAUAAAUAAUGAAUGGGAUCUGCAAGCGCACAGAUUAAUACCGAUGCAGCAUUUUAACCGGGAAGUAUUCCAGGUAUCGUUAUUUAUAUUUUUACCACUGGGAAGGGAUUAGCAAUCAUCACUAUUGAUUACAGAAUAGAAUAUGAGAUUGAGUAUCUAUCAUUGCAUGUAUAAUUGAGAACAUUAUAUCUAACUCUUCAUACAGGGAUAAGUGUCACAUAAAAGAUAUAUGAAAUGAUAAUAGUGACAAGGAUAACUAAUCUGAUCUAGCCACAUAAUAAAUAUGAUAAGCACCUCAAUUAGAUACUCUAGAAAGUCAUUAGCAUGGUAUUAGAACGAACUACAAGAAUAUUCCCUAAGUUAUUCUUAACUAUAUAGUCUAGCAUAUCAUAGUUAGUGCAAGCAUACUUAGCAAUCAUUGUGAGACAAGACUACGCCCAUGCAUAGUGAUAUUAGCAAGGAAUAUGAGAAACAUAGCAAUCACUCCCCUGUAAUAAUGUUGCUCUGCCAGCCCAAUACACGAGAGGGGGACUAUAUAAGAAUUAAUGAAGCUGUCACUAUCACGAACCACCUCACGAUCUGGCAUAUUGGGUACAAUCGCAGAUAAAUACGGUAUAAGCACCACGCCUACACAAUAUCUAUCAUUUACCCAUGGAUCCGAUGGAUAAACGCUAUACGAUCCUAAGCAUGUAUAUAGAUCGUAUCUAACUAAGCCAAGUACAUAACUAUGAUAAACUAAGAACAAUAUAAUCUUGAAUAUAAGCAAGUAGAGCAAAGUCAUAAGCAAUAUAUUGAAAUAGAACAAAGUCAUAUUCAUAAUAUUGAAGAACAAAGAUAAUUAGAAAGCAAUUAGAAGCACAAUUAGAAGAUUACCAAGAAUCCUCCUGACAGAUCCGGAAACCAAUCGAAGAUUGACUCCUUCUAGUUCUAAUCCUAUGUAGCAAUGCUAAUCUAGAUAUCUAAUUGAUGUGGUGGCUCUAAUCUUGAUCAGAGGCUUCUUCUCCCUUGAUGGAACAAUGAAUUAGGGUUGAGAGGCUCUCUCCUCCAGGGGCCAGGGGGUCUGGUUUUAUAGUCCCUCCAAGUGAAUAUGGGCCCUUGGAUCAAACCGACAUAGAUUGUAUGGUUUAGAUUCAUCCUUUAGGUCGGUGGAGACUUCCCGCAAAGCAGAGUCCUGAUUGCACUCCAGAGGUGGGCGGGCGCCCUGACCAACUGGGCGGCCGCCCAGGGUCUGGCCCCGUUUCGCCUCCGCUUCGGUCUCGUGGCUUCUGGAGUCUUCUAGAUGUAAGAUAAUUGCGCAGCACGUUAAUACCUUUACGUAAUCCUGACAUGUGGGCCUUUCUUCCAUAUUUCCUGAUAACCCCCUUCAGAAAUAGACAAACACCAAAACUCGUGGAAUUCUGUCAGAUAAAACCCUAAGUCUAGAUCUUUAUUUCAUUUGGAUCCUUUUCUUUAUUUAUUUGAUAAUUAAAUUUGAUACUUAAGGACCGUCAACAGAGCCCACAUGUCAGUGCCAGGUGGCUGUUGUAUUCAUCAAAGUGUGCUGGCCUUUGCUGCGUGGUCAGUUGGAGAGAGUAGAGAGUAGUAGGAGUAGAGGAGCACCAAUAGUAGUAGUAGUAGUAGUAGUAGUAGUAAGUAGAGAGUACUAGUAGUACAAAGUUAAGUAGAGAGCACUAGUAGAGCAGUAGUAAGAGGAGUUGUAGAGCAGUAGUAGGAGGAAGUAGUAAGAGGAGGGAGUAGUAGAGCAUUAGUAAGAGGAGGAGGGAGUAGUAGAUCAGUAGUAAGAGGAGGAGGGAGUAGUAGUAAGAGGAGGGAGUAGUAGAGCAGUAGUAAGAGGAGGGAGUAGGAGCAGUAGUAAGAGGGAGUAGUAGAGUAGUAGUAAGAGAAGGGAGUAGGAGCAGUAGUAAGAGGAGGGAGUAGUAGUAAUAGGAGGGAGUAGUAGAGCAGUAGUAAGAGGAGGAGGGAGUAGGAGCAGUAGUAAGAGGGAGUAGUAGAGUUGUAGUAAGAGGAGAAGGGAGUAGGAGCAGUAGUAAGAGGGAGUAGACUAUAGAGUAGUAGUGUGCUAAGUCCUUCAAUGUAAUAAUAGGUAAGUAGUAGACAGUAUAGUAUAUGAGUGAAAAAAAAUACUCAAUCAACCAAUAAUGGAAUAUGCUCAGUAUAAAUUAUCAAAUUGACAGUUGCAUAUGCUUAGUCAACCAGUCAAUGGCAUAUACUUAGUUAACCAAACAAUGGCAUAUGGUUAGUAUAAAUUAUCAAAUUGACAGUUCCAUAUGCUCAGUCAACCAGUCAAUGACAUAUACUCAGUUAACCAAUCAAUGGCAUAUGCUCAGUGUAAAAUAUCAAAUCAAUGGCAUCAUUGGCAGUGGCAUCUGCUUAUUAAAAAUCAACAAAUUAAGCUUUGGUUGCAUCACAGGCAGCAUACCCAUAACAGGAAACAAAAUGUGUACAAGCAGCAUAACAGGAAACUUGCAACUGGAGCAAAAUUGUCAAAACCUGGGAAGCUUAGAGCCGAGGAAGUUGAACCUUGGGGAGAAGCCGCUAAAGAUAAUGACGGCAGCGCUCUAGAUCUCCUUGGAGCAUGGGACGGUCUCCUGGAGCGGCAGGGCACGGGCAGGGAUGGAGCGGCCGAGGGUUGGAGAGGCAGGGCACGGGGUGUCCUCAGCACACGACGGAGUCGAGGAAGAAAGUGACGGAGUCAAGGAAGAAAGGCAUGGCGGCGCUAGGGUUCACCGCUGUAGAUCACAAUGGCGGUGCUAGGGUUCACCGUGGCACAGCCGGGGGUGGGGCUCUCCUCCACGUGCGCCGAAGGUGAGGAAGAUGGAGUGCACCGGAGGUGAGGAAGACAGUGGUGGCGCGCGAAUCCACUGGAGCCAGGGGCGAACAGACGGUGGCGGCGUGGCGGCUGAGGAAAUUUGGCAGCCCUUCGAGGUCGAAAUGAACCGCGCGGAGGACUUGGAAAGAAUGGGGGAGGGGAGGGGUACCUAUAGGUUACUAUUAACCGAGGCGGGCAACUAUGGGUGACCACCACGGUUAAGCUUUAAUGUGGCGGGCAUGUUAGGGCGACCGCCAUGGUUAAUACUACAUUAACCGUGGUGGUUUCUUUAUGAUGCCGGCCACAGUUAAGUUUGCUAGUAUUUUGUUAAAUUAUAAAAUGGAGUGUUUUAACACAUUUUUAAAUAGAUUUUAAACUGCUAAUGGUUUGUAACAUGCAUAAGAGUAGUACUAGAAGUUUAGGGAGUGACUAUGUUUUUAAGUAGUAGUAGUAGUAGUAGUAGUAGUAGUAGUAGUAGUAGUAGUAGUAGUAGUAGUAGUAGUAGUAGUAGUAGUAGUAGUACGAUUACAUUUGGUUCCAUUACAUAAAAAUUAGUAACACAAACUGUUAUUGCUAAUCGAUAAGUUUGUACAUUAUUACAAAUAAAGUAGUACUAGUACGAUUACAUUUGGCAAACAUCUCAUUUUGCUGGGAGUGAUCCUAUGACACACUUCUUUUGACCGUCGGAGCGGAACCAAGGCUUCAUGCCACUCUUGGUGACAUGGUUCUCGACUAGCUUGAUCUUGCGCGGAUGGUCGGUAAAGAGCGAGAACUCUGCGUAGUGGUUGUGUUCUUCGGGACUCUGGACUCCAUCAGCUCCCACGAUCAUCUGCUUUCUAGACACAACCACAUGCCUCUUUGGGUCUUUGGGCUUUGCAUAGUAGGCUACCUACGCGACACGGUUUGCUAGUACCCACUGAUCAUCUUUAUAGUCGACACUUUAGAGCUCCAGAGUGGUUAGCCCAUACUCAUCCACAGCAAUUGCCUUUUGCUUGACCCAUUAGCACCAAAAGAUUUGUAUCUAAAGUUCACCACCAUAGUCAAGUUCCCAUAUCUCUUCAAUCUGCCCAUAGUAUGUCUUGGUCUCCCCUAUGGCCUCGUCGAUGCCCUCAUAUCAAACACCGCUAUUCUGUGCUGCGCUCUUCCUGUCCUUCUCUUUUGUGUGAAACCUGUAUCCAUUGAUAUCAUACUCAUGCCACGAGGUUAUCUGGGAGGAUGGACCGGAUGCAAGCCUCGCUUCAUCAGUUUCACCAUAGGGAGGUAUGCCCUGCUAUUGGAUCCAUGUUGUGAAAUUCAUCUUAUGUUGUCUCUGUACCCAUGCCUCUGUGCGUCCAUUACGACCACGGCGAAUCUCCUCUGGGUGCAUCUCAACCCAAGUGUCCAUGACCACUAACUGAUUAAGGGUGCUGUGAUGAGCCUCUUGCAACUGUUCUUCUUGUACAUCCGUGCGUACUUUCCUUCCCAUGCACCCCAUCCCCAUGGUUCUGCCUUCAUGCAUAGGGACAGGCAGCCCAAUUGCAUUUCCAUCCCGGAUGUAUUUCAUGCAGCAGUUAAUGGCCUCCUCUCUUGUGUAUGCCUCAAUCAUAGAGCCCUGCAGGUAAGCACGAUUAUGGACAUAUCUGUUCAGUGUCGACAUGAACCUCUCAUACGUCCACAUCUGGUGCAGGUAGAUGGGCCCAAGUUCCUGUAUCUGAUCAACCAUGUGCAUCAUCAGGUGUGGCAUAAUAUCGAAGAAAGAUUUCCUGAAGCACAUCUCGAGUUGGCAAAGAGUCUCUGCGAUGAACUGCUUCAGUGUUGGCAGCUUAGCUUCAUUGAUGACCUUUUGUGUGAUAAAGUUGAAGAAGUAAACUAGGCAUGUGAUUACUAUCUUCAUGUACUCUGGUUCGAUAGCCUUGAUCACAAUUGGGAGGAAAACUAUGAGCAUGACAUGACAGUCAUGUGCAUUGAAGCUGGUGAGUGUGAGGUCCUUCAUUGAGACUAGGCUUCUCAUGUUGGAACAGGAACCGGUAGGCACCUUCACAUCUCUAAGCCACUGGCACAUGUCCCACUUCUCAUGUGUCGUGAGGUUGUAGCUCGCACCCAAAAGGUCCACUUUCCCGCUUUGUGCAGCCGGUGUUGGAUGAAUUUCAGUCCUAAUGUUCUGGUUCACAAGAUCCAGAUGUGACUUCAGACCAUCCUUCGUCUUAGUCUUGAUGUCUAGCAGGACCCCAAUCGUGCUCUCAAACACAUUCUUCUCUAGGUGCAUGCAGUCGAUGGCAUGAGGCGUAUCUAGCUUCUUCUAGUAUGAUAGGUACUUGAAGAAACACGACUGCUUCUUGAAAGGAACGGCAGGGGUAGGCUUUCCUUCUUCCUCCAUCAUACCCCGCUUCCUCUUCUUCGUAGUUAUGGUCUCACCUUGCUCAACAUUCUUCUUCUUCCCAAACUCAAAGUUUAUGCCCUUGACAAUGUCAACUACCUUUUGCCCAUAACUCGUCUUCUUGGGCUCAACAGUUUGAGGUUCCGCCUGGUUAUCAAAGAACCGAUUCAUUGAAGGGUGUCGGUACCUGUGCUUUUUGUCAAGGAAUCGCCUGUGCCUCAUGCACACCAACUUUUUUGAUGCACUAAGGUAAGUAUAGCAUGUACCAUCAAUGUAGACUACACAACCUGACUUACCUUUGGUCUACCCUGAUAGUGAAAAAAGGCCAGGGUAAUCGGUGAUGGUGACAGAGAUGAUGGCUUUAAGAGUGAAGUACUCCUUUCGUGAUGCAUCCAUCAUAUUGAUCCCUUUUUCCCAUAGUAUCUUCAUGUCCUCCAUGAGCGACUCCAGGAACACAUCUAUAUCAUUGCCUGGCUGUCGUGGUCCAGAAAUAAUCAUGGUUAGUAAAAGAUACUUGCGCUUCUAACAUAGAUAUGGAGGUAGGUUGUAGAUGGUUAGGAUGACUGGCCAUGUGCUGUGUGAGCUACUAAGGUCACCGAAUGGAUUCAUCCCAUCGGUACUUAGUGUGAACCUAACAUUCCUCGCCUCAUCACCAAACUCAUUUGGAAACAUGGCAUCAAACCGCUUCCACUGCUUGCCAUCAGAGGGGUGUCGCAACUUGCCAUCAUCCUUCAUUUGUUCUACGGAUGCAUGCCUCGACAUCAGUUAGGCAUCCUCUAGGUUUCCGAAUAGUGCACGUAGGCGAUCGAUCAUUGGUAGGUACCACACUAAGAGUGUAGGGCUGUUCCUCUGCAUGUAACCCCCUUCUUCCUCAUCCUUGGGAGAUGGGAUCUGCUUCUUGGCCGUCUGGAUCUUCGCCUUCUUGUUCCCUCUCUUUGUUGGUCCCUCAACAUCCACGUCUGCACGACAACCAGCAUUCCUCUUAUAUCGGCUCGCGUCGCAGUGCGAAUAGCUCUGCAAGUUCUCAUACUUAUCCCGAUAUAGAAUACAGUGGUUAGGGCAUGCAUAAAACUUCUUAAGUGUCAUCGCCACUAGCCGGAUCAUCUUCUUUGCUCGGUAGGUAUUGGCAGGCACCUUGUUACCUCUAGGUAUGAGUCAGCAAGCCUCUCUAAUAGGUCAUUAAAGCUCGUGUCGGACCACCCAUGGCGAGCCUUCAGCAUGAGCAUCUGGAGGUUAAAACGCAACAUCGUCAAAUGCUUUGGACAACCCUCAUACAGGGGAUCAAUUGCAACCUGCUUCAUCUCUUUGAAAUUCUCCAACCACUUUGGAUUUCCAAAUAGAACGUCAUCUUGAUCCAUACGGUUAGCAACAUUUAAAAAAAUCUCCACAUCUUCAGGCCCCAAGACAACAUCAACCUGCUCAUCAUCAUCACCGCCACCAUCUCCAAUCAAAUCAUGGAGGCUGAUGUAAUCAUGGUUCACACUAUCACCGCCCGUCGAUGCAGAUAGUUGUCGUCCCAAUCAUUCACCGUUGGCGAGUUACCUCCACCAGAUGCACCGGUCACACUUAGAUCUGCUUCUUCACAGUGAAACUUCCAGAUGGUGUAGUCCUUGAUGAAGCCAUGUCGGAUCAUGUAAAAUUGCACCACAUUAUCUUCCUGUAUAAGGUUGUUCUUACAGCUAUUGCACGGACAAAUGAUGCGCUCUCGACCCAAACACACACGGUGAUUUUUCGCAGUGGCAACAAACUUUCUGACAUGUCCUAGGAAAGCUAAAUCGUUGCUGACCCUCGGUAUCUUAUACAUCCACUCUUCCCUAUUCAUAAUGGCCGCGGCCACGUAGCACACACAAAGGGAGGAAAACAAAUAAAGACAUAUGAAAACAUGUGAGUAGCCCUAAAUCUAGUUUUAUUUCUCUCCUCCAGUUGGAUCUAGAUCUAAAACAUUUGGAUCUAGAUCUAUAUCUAGCAAAACCACCUAAAUAAUGCAAAAGAGAGAAAAUGAGUGUUAGAGAGUAACAAAUCCACCUCUUGCAGUGCCCCCCUUCACCAAAUAAAAGGGCAAAAUGUUUUCCCCUCUAAGAUAUAAAAUAUUAGGGUUUUGAGGUCAAAACCCUAAUAAAUGGAGGAGGAGCCACGAGAAAGAAGAAGGGGCCGUGCUGCUGCUUUUGUAUGCACAACAUUAACUAUGGCGGGCAAAUUAAAGCAACCGCCAUGGUUAAUCACUCAUUAACCGUGGUGCUGGCUGUGAAAGCAACCGCCACGGUAAAUAUAUUAACCAUGACGGUUCCCUUACGCCGUCCGCCAUGGUUAAAAGAUUAACCGAGACGGUCUCUCUAAAGCACGCCACGGUUAAUGAGGGAUUAAUCGUGGUGGAUUUCUUACAGUGACCGCCACGGUUAAAGUACUAUCCGUGACGGUUGCCUGGCUGGCAGCCCAGCCCAGGUUAACUGAGGCGAGCUGCCAGUCAGCCGCCUCCAUGGCCCAAACCAAAAUGUCUCCCAAAAAGUUUUUUGUAGUAGUGCCCCUCACUAGACUAUUGGCUAAGGAUGCGCCUUUCAUCUUUGACAAUGAGUGCUAUGAAUCUUUUCAAACCCUCAAACAAGCACUCAUUUCAGAUUCAAUCAUCCAACCACCUGAUUGGAUGCUGCCCUUUGAAAUCAUGUGUGAUGCUAGUGACUUUGCUGUUGGUGCCGUCCUUGGCCAAACAAAGGAUAAAAAGCACUAUGCUAUAUCCUAUGCUAGGAAAACCUUGACUGGACCAUAGCUCUAUUAUGCUAGCACUGAAAAGAGCUGUUGGCAGUUGUCUUUGCUGUAGACAAGUUUAGAUCUUACUUAGUUGGAGUAGAGGUAAUCAUUUAUUCAGACCAUGCUCACUAAGAAAGAUGCUAAACCUCAGUUGAUCCGCUGGAUUCUUUUACUCCAAGAAUUUGACAUAGAAAUAAAAGAUAAGAAAGGAGUAGAGAAUUCAGUAGCCGAUCACUUAUCUAGGCUCCAGUACAAGGAAACACAUGAGUUACCCAUUAACGACUAUCUAAGAGAUGACACACUCCUCAUGAUAACACACUCCAACCCUUGGUACGUGGAUAUUGUGAAUUAUAUGGUUGCAGGAUAUAUUCCACUAGGAGGAGAUAAAAGGAAGCUCAAAUAUGAAGCUCAAUGCCAAUUAUGGGAUGACCCAUAUCUCUAUCGAGUUUGUUCUGAUGGAUUAUUACGGAGAUGUGUCCCAAUGGUUGAGCGAUGAAAAUCAUAGAGAGAUGUCAUGCAUCACCCUAUGGAGGACAUUAUAGAGCAUUCCGUACGCAUGCAAAGAUCUGGCAAAGUGGAUUCUUCUGGCCUACGAUGUAUCGAGAUACAAAGGAAUUUGUUAGAAGAUGUUCCAGAUGUUAGAAACAUGGAAACAUUAAUGCUUGGGAUGCAAUGCCACUCCAAAACAACCUCCAAGUAGAGUUGUUUGAUGUUUGGGGAAUCGACUACAUGGGACCAUUCCAAAAAUCUAGAGAUGCUAAAUUCAUCUUAGUGGCAGUUGACUAUGUGUCCAUGUGGGUAGAAGCACUACCAUGUAGAGCUGCCAACUCCAAGCACGCCAAGAAGAUGUCCAUGAAGUGAUAUCCCAAGAUUUGGCACACCAAGAAUGGUCAUAAGUGAUGGAGGAUCACACUUCAUUGAUAAGAGCUUCAAACAAUUCUUGACAAAAUAUGGAAUUAAGAAUAAUGUUGCAACUCCGUACCAUCCUCAAACCAGCGAUCAUGCAAAAACAUCAAAUAAGCAAAUCAAGAACAUUCUACAGAAGAAUGUGGAUGAGAUGGGAAAGAAAUGGAAGUACAAGCUCCAUGAUGCACUAUGGGCAUACCGGACUGCAUACAAAACACCCAUAGGCAUGUCACCUUAUCAGCUCGUAUAUGGAAAACAUGUCACUUGCGUUUUGAGUUAGAGUUUAGAGCUCUUUGGGCAAUUAAUAAAUGGAACAUGGAUCUCCAUCUAGCCGGCAAGAAUCGUCAGAUGCAAAUAUCUGAGCUGGAAGAAUGGAGAGAAAAGGCUUAUCAUAGCUCCAAGAUUUACAAAGAGAGAACUAAAAGAUGGCAUAACAAGAGAAUAAAACAUAAGGAGUUUAAGCCUAGAGAUAAAGUUCUAUUAUUCAACUCAAGAGUAAAGCUCUUCGGUCAUGGAAAGCUUAGAAGCAAAUGGGAAGGACCAUUUAAAGUAAUUGAUGCUGCAUCUCAUGGUGCCAUCACAAUCUAGGACGAUAGAGGUAACACCUUUAAGGUAAAUGGUCAAUGUUUGAAAGUUUUUCUUGAACCUAAAAAUAUAGAAGAAAUAGAUCUGAUUGAGUUCUUGCAAUUUAAUGAGUCAAUCUAAAAUUUCAAAAGGGCUUUAGACAACUAACACUUUUUGGACUAACGCUUAAUCAUUUCCACAAGUUUUGUUAUCUAUUUGAGUUUAUAGGUUUUAAAGGAUCAAGAAGAGCUAACAAGCAGAAGGACGUCCUCUCCCCUAUUGAAGUGUUGUUUGCAUCAGUCUAGUGCUGUUUCAAACAGCAAAUACCCACUACACUCCAUGAGGAUCAGUACGCCUCAUUGCCAUCAGCAACCUCAGCAGACCAUGUCAACAACCAGCUUGGGGGAGACCACCCCUGUAUACCAUACCUCACUCGUCUAAUUAUUACUAGUGCAUUAUGAUAAGAUAAAAUUAAAAAGAUUUAUAAUAUUAGAAACCCAAUAGAUAUUUUAUCUUUCAUAAUUAAUCUAGCUAGCUAAGGAGAGCUCUUAAUGAAUCUGUUAGAAUGAACCUCUAGAACAAACUCUUAUAUGGAGAUGAUGAAUAGUUGCUCUGCCUUAAUUCCUUGCAGGUACCUAGUUUUCAACCUUGUACUCUCCUGAGUUUUAGACACAACUGUUUAGACUUAAGAUUUUGUUCUGAGCCUAGAACUUGUGAGUAACAAAUGCUUGAUCUAAGUCUAGGUAGUUGAUGGAUAUAAAUAAUGGAAGGUUUUCAGCUUCUGUAAAUCUUGCUCCUAGAGAUGCUAGAGUUCUGGAGAAUUUUAUUUGAAAAUUUUAAAUUCCUACCUGAUGAGUUCCUUUAUGACGAGAGUUUUAAAUUCCUACCAUAGCCAAAUACUCAUGCUUACUAGAUUAGUAAAACCUUUCACUUAUAUUUCAACCUAUAAGCAUUGAGGGUAGUUAAGCUAUGUAGACCCUAAGGAACUAGUCAUGCAAUUAAAGUCAAUAUUAUGUGCUCUCCAUCCAUUGAUCUUAGCUACUUCUAUCCUCAAAAGUAUGCAACCACUUACAUCCACCACAUUCAUUAUGGGCUACUUCUGUUCCUAGAAGUACCACCCACAUAUAUGCACUACACUACAUGCUGCUCCUACCCUAGGAGUAUGCAUCCAUCCAUCCACAUUCCACAUCCACUCAAAAAAUGUUCUACUCCUACACUGGGAGAAGACAUCCAAAAAUGUUUAAUGUCUCAUUCUACUUAUCCAAUAAAGCUCUAGUUAUUUCAGUUGACACUCCCUACCAUUAUCACUGCAUUAAGAGGGUUGGCUGAUCUCUAAAAAAAGAGAGAGAAAAAGAAAGAAAGAGGACAAAAGUCCCAAUGCAAAAAAAAGAAAAGAAAGACAACCAAGUCCUUGUUCUCAGAUUAGAGAGGUAAGUUAUCCUCAAGGAGCAAAUGUAGAAUUAGAUAUUCACCAUCAGUUAUCACCCCUCAUAACCCCUUUAUUCUUAUCACUUCACUCACAUGCACAUAUGAAUUGAUUGUAUGAUUAGUUUCUCUGGAUCCACGGUUUAUAUAUGCAAUACAUGUAAGUAGGUUUGAAUUGUCUUUCCCACCUAUGAGCUCCACAUAAGCCAAUUAGAAGUAGGGUGAGAGAGAGAAGGUAGUUAUGUCUUAGUGAUAUAAAUAUCAUAUUCUGAGAGAAGGCAUAUUCACUUGCCUUGGAGAGGAUCCAAAAAUACCAUAUAUGAGAGACUGGAAAGGGUUAUACAAGGAAUCUCUGAGUUCUAUUUGAAAAUCUUACAAAACUCCAGAAUAAUAGUUGAUCAAAGAGUGAGUAAUAUAGCACUUGACUUAACCGUUCUGUCUUUCCACUGCUCAAGAUAUAAGUGAUAGCUAUAAGCCCCAUGGUGAAAGGUAAUAUGGGUAGUCUUUAGUUAGAAUAGUUCACUCUAAUUCAGGGGAGAGUCCCUUUGAACGCAUGUGUACCAGUGAGGCGAGAAAGUAUUGUAGCAACUCAUGAUCCAUCACUCAGUCUAUCUUUGCUCAGGGAUGAGCAAAAGGUAAGCUUGAGGGACUUUGUUGACGGUAGAUAAGUACUCUUUUUAAUAGGGGAUACACUAACAGAAUUCCAUGAGUUUUGGUGAUUAUCUAUUUCUAUAGGGGGUUAUCGGAAUAAGAACCAAAGGAGGUCCACAUGUCAGAUUUACAUAGAGAGAAUACUGUGAAUUUCAACUAUAGAGUAAUCCAGAAGGUUCUAGGAGGCUCCAGAACAAACAGGAGCUCGAACCGGCUCGGUGGUCGGGCAGGCGCCCCACCUGUCAGGGGCGGCCGCUCGGGGAUCUCCACUAAUUAGCUUCAACCUCAUGGAUUCCUGAUCCACCACCUUUGAGGAGUAAUCUUGAGCGCAUGUUUAAUUCGGUUUGAUCCAAGGGCUGUGGUGCUUCCUAGGGGGCUAUAAAUACAAGCCUGACCCCCCUCAGAUUAUCUCCUUCACUAGCUACAUCUAUAAUAAAAAUUAGGGUUUCAUCUAGUAGAGAAGUAGAGGUCUCUCUAGUUCAUCUAGUUCUAGUUCUAAUUCAUCUAGUUCUAGUUCUAGUUGUCUAGUUGUAUCUAGAAAAUAGGGAGAGAGGAGGAGAGAGCUGAGGAGGACCCGGAUCUGUCGGAUCUUCCUCAACAUUGUACUUUUGUAGCAUCUGAUUCUUCGUUCAGCAAUCUCUAGGUUCUUUAAUUAUUAUUUAUAAGUUCAGUUCUUUAAUUCAUUCUUACUUUAUUAUACUUACUUGUUCUUAGUUCGUAUUGAGUGCUCUAGUUAUCCUAGAUAAUUAGAGUAGUAAACGCUAGCCUAGACGUGGUGUCUAGGCUAUAGUUUACCUGAGUUUGCGCCUAAGCCCAUGGAUAGUUGUGGUAGCCCUAGGGGUAACAGCCCUGUCAGGCCUUUGUAAUCCACCAUGUUCAGAUUGGUGUUUCAUAGAGCAUUUGGCAGCCUUCUCAAGACUACUUUCUUCCCAGUCUUCUUUGAAAGUUCGAAAGGACCUACUGCUCCAUAGUAAGUAUAGUAUAGUAAGCCUGAUUUUGAUCACCCAUUCAACUUAGAAAACUCUAGAAGGUUCCUCUCUACCCACCAAAAAUAUAUUUAUCUUUCUUCUCUUAUCUUUAUCCUUGGAUGGCCUUGAUUCUCUAGUACACUUCAUGUUCCUUGUGGAAAUCGAUACUCUAGAAUACUCUUGGGUGAAAGCUGCAUUGGUAUCUGUAUGCUUGCGGAUUUUUCUGUGUACUUUUAAAAUACCCAACAAGCUUUUUGGCGUCGUUGCCGGGGAAUAGGCAUCUUGUCUAUCUUUGGUGAUUGCAUUAAGAAGUGUCAACACCUACAGGUAGCAACACACCAACAAACAAAAUACUUCAUUUUAUUUAAUAGACACAAGUUACAAUGAUGAAGAUUGAAUGAACUUAGCUAUUGUUCAUAGUAGAUAACUCUUAAUUGUAACCACAACUAAACAUGAAAAAGGAUCUAUUUGCAAGCACUUAGUAGAGAUAGGGUUAUCACUAAUAGAAUUCCAUAAGUUUUGCUGAUUGUCUAUUUCUGUAGGGGGUUACUAGAAUAAUAACAAAAGAAGGUCCACAUGUCAGAUUUACAUAGAGAGAAGACCCGAACGUCAACACAGGAACAAUCUAGAAGACUCUAGGAGCCACCACCUAAAACCUGGGACCACUUGGAAGCUACCUUGGGCGAGCGACCCUGCCAGGUGGGCAGCCGCCUAGGGCUCUCCACCAAUCAGGGUGAACCUCGUAGAUCCUGCCUCCACUGACUUUGAGGAUUAAUCUUAAGUGCAUGUUUGAGUCGGUUUGAUCCAAGGGCUAUGGUGAUUCCUAGGGGCUAUAAAUAAGUCCAUGACCCCCCUAGUAUCUAAUUCUGAAACCCUAAUUCAUAUUUUCUAGAGAGAAUUAGACAGAGAGGGGUAACUCGAACAGAUCUGUCUCUAUAGGGUGAUAACAACAAGAGAGAUUGAGAGAGUAUAGGGUGAAGAUAGGAGUUGAGGAAGCCUAGCCUAUUGGUGCCUUCUUCUUUGUAUCUUCAGGAUCAAGUCUCCUAACCUGAGGCUUAGUUCUAGAAUUGUUCGGCAAUUCGACUUCUAAUACUUGUAAGUUAUUGUUCAUAUUGUUCUUUGGUUUAUGAGUUUACUUUAUUCGCUUUGCAUAGGGAAUAGAGUAAUUAUUCGUAGCAUAAACAUGGUGCUUGGGCUAGGAAUACUCGUAGAUACUCCCUAUUUGGCCAGAUUUGUGGUAGCUUUGGGGGGAAGUGAAAAUCCUCUCGGGUCUCUGUAAUUCAUGUCCCGUCAGGAAGUAAGGUGGGGUAUAUGGUGCCAGGGUUAAGCACUCUCUGAGGUGUCUCUUUUCUCUAGGUACUCCCCUUAGAACAAUAUCUACACACUUAACAUAGGUUAGAAGAACACUAAAGAAAGAUUUCUCUAUAUAUCGCUCAUAUCUCACUAUCUUGUCUUGCAACCCAUGGGUAGUACAUAAGAUAAAGGUUAGUCUUUUACACGCUUUCUCCUAGUGGUAAAAAAUAAAUACGAUCUUAUCUCCGGGGUGAAGUGCUCACCGAUAUUCGUGCGCUUGUGGAUUAUUUCUGUUGAUUCUUUUGUGUGAGUAAAAAAUAUCAACAAGCAUUUCUAGUGCCGUUGCCGGGGAGAAAGACAGUCUGCUUAGAUGACCUAGUCUUACUCUACCUUGUAUUGUACUUUUAUCUUUUUUUGUUAUCUCACCUUUUCUUACAUCUUACAUUUUCUUUUAUGGAUACCUUAAUUUCCAUUCCUAUCCUUCAGUUCUCUAGACCCAUGGAGACCAGCCUCGUGCCACAUGCGUUAGCACAACCUAUCCAAACAUGUAGCUAUAGGCUGAGUCCACGAUUGAUUUUGUUGGUCCAAAGCCUAUCCUUUUCAGGAGAAGAAGAUGAAAAUCCUUUUAUGUACACAUUAGAGAGCUAAUCCUACUGAUUCUGCUAGUCUUACUUGUUACCAAGGCUCUGAUCUUGAUCGCCAAAAUAACACUCUUGAUCACCCCCGAAUUGCUCACCGUCUAUCCUCGAUCAUCGAUCAUCAACACACAAACAACCAGAGACAACAUACAUGAAGCAAACAAGGCUACAAUUAGAACAGUACACCAACAGUAGAAAAAUAGAAAGAAAAGUUUAUAAAAUGAUUCUACGCAUCGCUACGAUCACACAGACAUAAAGAACACGAAAAUUGGAGCUAAAACGGAGAAGAUAUGAAUUUUCUAAGAUUUUCUAUGAAAAAGCAAUUAAUUAAAUAGGGUCACGAAAUUUAAAAGUUUCAAACUGACUAAACAGUAUUACUAACAUGUAGUUCUCGUAAAAAUGAAUAUAACGCAAAUUGAAUGGAUCAAUUCAGAGUUAAAAUGAAUAUUUUAUGGCUAAAACAAACCUAGUGGCAAAACUGUAAAUGUAGAAAAAGUAUUUUUCAUUUCAAACCGAGGCAAUUUAUGUUUUCAAAACCGAAAGGCUUACUUUAGAAAGACGCCAGAGGACAGCGGGUUCGAAUAUAGAAAAAGGUAGGGUCUCUUUAGAAAAAGUGACAGGCCGAAAGGGUAAGUUUUAAUCUUGUCCUUUGAUUCUCGAUCCAACGGUGCAGGUUCAGGCCUUGUUUAGUUCCCCAAAAAUUUUAAAUUUUUUUUCAGAUUUUCCGUCACAUCGAAUCUUUGGACGUACGCAUGGGGUAUUAAAUAUAGAUGAAAUAAAAACUAAAUUGCACAUUUUGGUCGAAAUUGAUGAGACGAAUCUUUUGAGCCUAGUUAGUCCAUAAUUAGACAAUAUUUGUCAAAUACAAACGAAAGUGCUACUAUUCCUAUUUUGCAAAAAAAAUUUGGAAGUAAACAAGGCCUCAAUCUAGCAGGAGGGAGAGAGAGUGCCGGUGGGGCACGGUAGCCCAAGGCGGCGCCAUGGCCGGAAUUUGGCCCGACCUAGCCGGAGUUGGGCGAGAAAGCUCUCCGGUGCACCAUUUAACAAGCCGAGAGCAUGGGGAGCAAGGGAGGACCAACGCAAACUCACCUAGGGGUAGGGCUAGAUACCAAACCAGCUCGACUCGUUAGUGGCUCGGCUUGUUAUACCUCGUUAUACAAACGAGCUAGAAGGCUGGCUCGGCUCGGCUCGUUAGUGAGCUCGAGCAGCUACUUUGACUCGCGAGCCAAAUCAUAAAAACAUAGUACAAAGAGACUAUAAAUUUAUAAAAAUAAUUGAGCAACAAAUACAUCACAUGCAUAUUUAAUAUGAACUAAACAAAGUACUUAUAACUUCAACAAUUCAACAAACAAACUAGAGUUUUGUCCAGCCAGCCUAUUACGAUCACGACCGUGGCUAUAUGAUAGUCAUACUCAUACAAGUUAAGCAUCAUCCAUUGACGGAUAAAGUUAGAGAUUUACGAAUAGGCUAGGUCGAGCUACUGAGAAAUAUUUAGUCAUGUAGCCGAGACAAUUUUAGUUACUAGCAUGAUAAUUGACUGGCUCGUUAUGGCUCGCGAGCAGCUCACGAGCUGGCUCGAGCUUGCUCGUUAUAAAACGAGCUGGCUCAUUAUAAAACGAGCUGGGUCGUUAUAAAAUGAGUCGAGCUCGAGCCGAGCUAUUAACGAGCGAGUCGAGCGAGCUAGCGAGUUACAAGUUUUUUGCCCAGCCUUACCUAGGGGCUUCACUAGGCUAGGGAUAGCUUGUGGGUGGCGCGCGUCACGGAUCGGCGAACGACGAGUUCCUGCAAGGGUUCGGCAUGGUGGGUAGAGCGAGUUAGAGCCUGAAAUCAAGGAAGAAAAGACCCAGAGAAUGCUCGAUCUCACUGCGAAGCUCGACAAGGAACUUACACGGGCAAAACACAACCGGAGGGCAACGAAAAUCAGCAAUGGCGAUGGCAGCAGCUUGUUCCUCUGUUCACCGAGAUCAAAAAAUAGGACUGCACAGUGGCUAGGGCUUCGCAAACGUUGCGGAUGGAAAAGGAGAGCGCACUGGGGCUCACGAAGCUUUGUACCGGCUCGGGUUAGUGCAACACGCAGGAAAUCCCAAUAUUUCAGGGAUUGGGAAGCCGUCGAGGACCGUAUCCUGAACGGACUUGAGGUAGACGAUGGCUUCCAUGUGGGUCCCACCAGGCAGUGACUCAACGGUGCGGGACCGGUUGGUCAGUGAGAGAAGGAGGGGAAGCUCCCGCGUCCUAGCUGGGCCGCAGCUUCGCACACGCAGGCCAAUCGGGCCGAGAGAGAGAAAGGUAGAGGGAGAGGGCGCAUCGAGUGGGCCGAGCUACCGCUGUUGAGCUGAGCUGAGCGAUGGGCCGAGACGUGAAGAAGAGAGGGAAGGGAGGGCAUGUUGGCGGGCCGAGCUGCUAGGAGGAAGCAGGCCGCGCGGUGGGGAGGUGGAGUGGGCCUUCGGGCUAGAAUAGAGAGAGGAGGGGUUUUGUUUCUUUUCUUUUUUUAAUUCUUUUCUUUCAAGCCAUUUUCAAAUCCAUUUUGAAAAGCAAUUUAAAUCCAGUUUUUAGGCUUUGGUCAAAAACCACUCAUCUCAAAAUAAAAUGCACCAAGAUGUUUACAUACAAUUGUUGCUAAGCCUUAAGAUAAAUUUUAUUUUAAAGAAAAAUAUUAUUUUUCCUACAUUUUCAUGAGCACAAAAAUGCAGAAUUAAACCAAUUUUCAACUAUUUCAAAAUGAGCAAAUUUUAGGGUGUUACAAAUCUACCCCCAUAAAAUGAAUCUCAUCCUCGAGAUUCAGAAGAUGCUUUGGUUCUCUUAGAGAAAUAUGAAAAAGAUCUUGACAACUCUUUCAACUUGCAUACCAAACUUAAACACUUAUAUCUUAGGAUCACAAUUUCUGAACAAAGUUUCCACUCAGUAACUAUUAUUCAUAUUUGAUCAAAGUCCAUCUUGACUACCAACUUUUUGACUUACAACUCAAAGACAUGAUAACUUAGCAUGGAUUUGCCUCCUCCGGUAGGCGUGGACCACCUUGAUAAUCAAUUCUCUUCCAUGAUGGUGCGGUUAAAAGAAUUUUCCACUGGGUACCACAGAUCACUCCUUUGUGUGCACACAACCACCCAUUGCCAUGAACCAAGGGAAUAUCGAGUGACUCUAAUACAAUGAGGUUUACUGUGAAGUUUUCCUUGCUUAUGACCAGAUUGAUAUUCGAGCAAACCAAAUCUGCUUGCAUUUCUCCCACUGGGGUUUGAACUAACAUAGGCUUCCUGGUUGGACACUUCACCUGCUCGAUCGUCUUUACCAAGUCGGUGGAACUGAAAGAAUGCAAAGCACUCGGGGCAAAGAGAGCAAAAACUAGCACUAAGUCUACUUGAAUAUAUCCACCCACCACUUUGGUAGCUCCCUGAAUGUUAUGCCUAUCCACAUUGCUCGGUCUUCCAUUGAUAUAGUUUCGCUGCAUUUUACUUCCGUGAGCAGGCUUCUUACGGCUUUUCCUUUUUCUCUUUCGUCGUUGUGGAUUCAGAUUUGAUUCAAUGUCAACCUGCUCUUCAAUAUUAUUAUUUUGAUAAAUCUUAGCUUUAUCAUACUCAUAACAUCCUUCAAAGGCAGAAUAAUCAUGCUCUUCCCACAUAUCCAUGAGAGGCGUCAUAUUGGGCUCCUGAUCCAUGGGACACUACACUCCUUGUCAUCAAGUGACCAACGUUAGUAACACAGCAAGAAUAGAUGAUCAUAACCAUAGAAUAUUUCAAAAGAAAACUCUCACUUCAAGAUAAAUUACAAAUACAUCAUCCCGUGAUAUCAAGGUACUACCCCCCUUAAAACGAGGUUGAUUCGGGGACACUAGGGACUAGCUCUCCUAUCCUUUUUGGACGCUAUGUUGACGGUUCUUAAGUAUCAAUUUUAAUCAUGAAAUAAAUAAGGAAAAGGACCAAUAUACAAGCAACACCUAGAAUUAGGAUUUGAUCUGGCAGAAUUCCACGAGUUUUGUUGUUUAUCUAUUUCUACAGGGGGUUAUCAUGAAAUAUAGAAGAAAGGCCCACACGUCAGGAUUACAUAGAGAUAUUAACUUGUGCGCCAAUUUUCCUCGGCCUAGAAGGUUCCAGAAGCCACACGAAUGAGCGGGAGGCCGAGCGAGCCCACAGGUAGGGCGCCCGCCCAACCCCCCUAGGCGGCCACCCUCCUCUGCUGGCCAAUCAGCACGAGUCUCGCGGAUUAUGCUCCACCGCCUUUGAGGAUCAAGGAAAACCGUUCAAUCAAGGUCGGUUUGAUCCGACGGCCCAUAUUUGUUUGAGAGGGCUAUAUAAGCAAGGCCCCUGGCCCCUGGAGAAGGCAAUCCCCAUUAUUCAUUAGCAUAUUUUCUAGAAAGGAUUCAGAGAGAGAGGUUCCUUUAGGGUUCGAACCUCAUAGGGCUUAGCAUCCAAUGUGAGAGUAGAAUUAGUUCUACUAGAUUGAGAGAGAGAUAGAGUGGAGGUUUAGAUCGGAGGAAGCCCAGCCUAUCGGUGUCUACUCCGAGGUUAUACCUGCGGAAUCAAGUCUCUUAACCCGAGGCUUGCUCCUAGGAUUCUUCAGUAUUUCGACAUCUAAAUUCUAGUAAGUUCUUUGUUUUAUUGUUCCUUGGUUUAUGAGUUUACUUUGAUCUCUUCGCGUAGAGUUUAGAGUAAUCAUCUCUAGCGUAAACGUGGUGUUUGGGCUAGGAUACUCAUAGAUAUCCCCUGUCUAGCCGGACCGUGGUAGUAGCAAGGAACGUGACAUUUUCGAGUUACCUUUGUAGCCCAUAAUCCCGUUAGCAGGAUCGAUAGGGUUUAUAGGUGCGGGUCGAACAUCCUCUAUGGUGUCUAGAUUCCGUGAGCCUCCCCAACAGAACAGUAGAUCAUCCUUACCAAGGUUAGAACGAGGGUGCUGUUGAAGUCUUCUCUAUACAUCACUCACAUCGAAUCAUAGUGGUUGUAGCCUAAAGGUUAGUAGUAAUAGACCUGGUUAGUCAGAUGCACGCUUUCUCCUAGUGGUAAAAAUAUAAAUAUGAUACUCUGGAUAACAUCCGGGGUGAAGUGCUCACCGAUAUCCAUGCGCUUGCGGAUCAAUUCCUGAUUGCGUUACCAAAUAUCAACAAGCAUUUCUGGCACCGUUGCCGGGGAGAAAGACGGUUUGCUAAGAUAACCUUGAGUCUUACUACUAGCUUGUAUCUAUACUUUUAUCCUUUUACUUUUUUUACAUAUAUAUUUUUUCCUUUAUUUUUACCUUAUGGAAAACCAAAAUUCUAAAUCGAUCCAUGAAUCUGCAACACCCUCACUGACUAACCUUUUACCAUGGGAGUCAUCACAGCCUAUCCAAACAUCCCAGUAUUGGUUAAGUUCCAGGUUGAUUGCCAUGAUUCAAAACCUAUCUUUUCAGGAAAGGAAGACGAAAACCCAUACCUUCAUAUUAGAGAUUUUGAGCAAACAUGUGAUUGUCCUUGCAUUAAAGGCAUUUCUGAUAAAACUUUGCGUUGGAAGCUUUUUCCUUUUUCUUUAAGGGGAGAAGCUAGACGAUGGUAUAGUCAGAAGGUAAGUCAACAACGAGGUGAAUGGGGAGUUUGACGAGCCAACUUUUGUCUAGAUUUUUAUUCCCAUGACCGUAUCGGCGACCUUAGACUCGAAGUCCUAUCUUUUAAACAAAAAGAUAAUGAAACUUUGGGAAAAUCCUAGAAACAUUUUUCUGACCUUUUAGAAUAUGGUCCAAAUCUUAAUCUUGAAGACCCUAUUCUUUUAUUUCACUUUUUUUGAGGUCUUCAGAAAGAUCAUAAACAAAUGCGACAUACAAUGUCUAGAGGUUCUUUCUUUCGCAUCCCUACUGAUGACGCUAGAGCAAUCCUAGAUAGAAUCCUAGAAGCUGAGAUGGAUAAUACCCUUCAUGAUGAAACCCACGAAGCCGAAGUAGACACUAUGCCAAAUUCCCCAUCUACUUUAGCUAUCCCAAGUUCUGAGCCACAAAAGGAAGAAAUUCCACCACCUGAUUUCAUGCUGGAUAUAGAAUCUGAUCUUUUUGCCGAUUUUGGAAACAUUUCAAACUACCAUUCUAUACACAGACCCAAAACGGCCAUUUUAGCAUUUGUUUGCCAAGUGAACAUCAAUUAAGAGAGCUUAUCACAGUCAUGAGUAGCGAAUGGUUGGAAGAGUCAGAGCUUUCCUCUGAUGUGAUCCGUUUGGACACACCUCCUAUAACUAUACGCUGUGCAAACACCCCCUAUAACUAUGCACUGUGCUUAUGAUUCUGAUCAAUUUGAUGCUCUCUAUAAUCUUGUUGUGGGGAUCAACAUCAUGUCUAAAGCUUUUGCACUUAAAUUAUUUAAAAAAAUUGGUCUUAACCCCCACAACAAAGGUCAUAAAGGAAUCUUCGGGGCGAUUAGUCCCCAGUCUUGGAAUUAUUAAUGUCCUACCCUUUAUGGUAGAAGGCUCCAUGGUUCAUUUGAACUUCUAUAUCUUUGAUACAUGGGAUUUCGACCUGUUGAUAGGAGAACCUUUUAGAAGACUCCUUUAUGAAGGUCAAACUGGAAAGCUACACAUUUCUUUUGGAAAAGAUUUUAAAUUUCCAAUAACGAUUUCUCACUCCUUAAAUAAUAAGUCCGAGUCAUAUCUUUUGCCCGAUCCUAUGGAGGAGGUAAAGGCUGCAUCUCUAGAGUUUUUAAAUGAACCAGACUUAGAAGAAGAAGCUCCUUUCUUCACAGAAGAAGAGGCCGAACCUUCUAAAUCUGAACCCUUAGAUGAGUUUGCAGAAACACCUAGACCUCCCAUAGAGCUUAAAACUUUACCACCCGGUCUUACCUAUGCUUUCCUAAACAAUAAUCCAGAGUUUCCUGUGAUCAUUAGUGAUAAACUCACUCAAGAGCAAACUGCGAUUGAUAACCAUUCUUGAGAAACAUCACUCAGUUUUCGGCUACUCACUCCAAGAUCUUACAGGAAUCAGUCCUAUGAUUUGUACCCAUCGUAUUCCGACAGAACCUUCUGUUUCACCUUCUCGAGAGCCCCAACGUAGACUUAACAACGCGAUGAGAGAGGUAGUUAAAAAGGAAGUUAUAAAGUUGCUACAUGCAGAGAUUAUAUAUCCUGUACCGCACAGUGAGUGGGUGAGCCCAGUUCAAGUUGUUCCUAAAAAGGGAGGCAUGACUGUCGUUACGAAUGAAAAGAACGAGCUAAUUCCGCAACGCACCGUCACAGGGUGGCGGAUGUGCAUAGACUAUAGGAAACCGAACAAAGCCACGAAAAAGGAUCAUUUUCCUUUACCUUUCAUAGAUGAGAUGCUUGAGUGAUUAUCGAACCAUUCGUUCUUCUGUUUCUUAGAUGGAUAUUCAGGGUAUCAUCAGAUCCCGAUCCAUCCCGAUGAUCAAAGCAAAACCACUUUUACAUGCCCAUACGGAACUUAUGCUUACCGUAGAAUGUCAUUUGGGUUAUGUAAUGCACCAGCUUCUUUUCAAAGAUGCAUGAUGUCUAUAUUUUCUGAUAUGAUUGAAGAGAUUAUGGAAGUUUUCAUGAAUGAUUUCUCUGUAUAUGGAAAAACUUUUGAUAGUUGUCUUGAAAACUUAGACAAGGUUUUGCAAAGAUGUGAAGAAAAGCACUUAGUCCUCAAUAGGGAAAAAUGUCAUUUUAUGGUUAGGGAUGGAAUAGUGUUGGGACACCUAGUGUGUGAAAGAGGUAUUGAGGCAGACAAAGUUAAAAUUGAAGUAAUUGAACAACUACCUCCACUUGUGAAUAUAAAAGGAAUUCGAAGCUUUCUUGGCCAUGCUGGGUUUUUAUCGCAGAUUCAUAAAAGAUUUUUCACUUAUUGCUAGACCACUUACUCUUUUGCUAGCCAAGGAUGCUCCUUUUGAAUUUGAUGAUGCAUGCCUAACAUCUUUCAAUUUAUUAAAGAAUGCACUCAUCUCUGCACCAAUCAUUCAACCCCCUAAUUGGUCGUUGCCUUUUGAAAUUAUGUGUGAUGCUAGUGAGUAUGCUGUGGGGGCAGUUUUGGGACAAACUAAAGAUAAGAAGCAUCAUGCAAUUGCUUAUGCCAGUAAAACUUUGACUGGAGCUCAACUUAAUUAUGCAACCACUGAAAAAGAGCUUCUCGCCAUUGUCUUUGCCAUUGAUAAAUUUAGAUCUUAUUUAGAUGGGGCUAAAAUAAUUAUUUAUACUGAUCAUGCUGCACUAAAAUAUCUACUCACUAAAAAAGAUGCUAAACCUCGCCUGAUUAGAUGGAUCUUAUUACAUCAAGAAUUUGACUUAGAAAUAAAAGAUAAAAAGGGAGUAGAAAAUUCUGUUGCUGAUCACUUGUCUAGAAUGCAUUUUAAGAAUCCAUAGGAAACCCCCAUUAAUGAUUCACUCCGGGACGACAUGCUCUACGGGAUUAAUAGGUCUGACCCCUGGUAUGGAGAUAUUGUUAAUGUUAUGGUUUCAGGGUAUGUACCACCAGGAGCGAACAAGAAGCUUAUUCAAGAAAGUCGUUCACAUAUAUGGGAUGAGCCAUACCUCUUCCGAGUAUGCUCUGAUGGCUUACUCAGGAGAUGUGUGACCACCGAGGAAGGAUGGAAGAUCAUCGAUAGAUGUCAUUCAUCACCAUAUGGAGGUCAUUAUGGAGCAUUCCGUACACAUUCAAAGAAGUGUGAGUUCAUCUUGGUGGAAGUUGACUACGUCUCCAAGUGGGUGGAGGCACUACCUUGCAAACACGCCGACAACAUCAGUUCAAAGAGGAUGUUUGAAGAAAUUAUAUUUCCAAGAUUCGGAGUCCCCAGAGUAGUGAUAAGUGAUGGAGGAGCACACUUCAUCGACACACGCUUCGAGCACUAUCUAUCAAAACAUGGAAUCCGCCACAACGUCGCUACCCCCUAUCAUCCCCAGACAAGUGGCCAAGCAAAGACUUCCAAUAAGCAUAUCAAGAAUAUUCUUCAGAAGACAGUCAAUGAGAUGGGAACGGCAUCGAAGGACAAGUUACUUGAUGCACUCUGGGCAUAUCGGACAGCAUACAAGACCCCAAUUGGAAUGUCCCCAUACGAGUUGGUGUAUGGGAAGACUUGCCACCUACUUGUUGAACUAGAGUUCAAAGCACACUGGGCCAUAAGGAGAUGGAAUAUGGACUAAGAUGUCACUGGAGAUCAUAGAAGAAUGCAACUAUUAGAAUUGGAAGAAUGACGAGAAAAAGCAUAUCACAAUUCGAAGAUCUACAAGGAGAGAGUCAAAAGGUGGCAUGACAAGAGGAUCAAGAAGAAGGAGUUCGCACCCGGAGAUAAGGUAUUACUUUUUAAUUCCAGGGUAAAGCUCUUCGGGCAUGGAAAACUCUGGAGUAAAUGGGAAGGACCAUUCAAGGUAAUCAAUUCAUCAUCCCACGGAGCUAUCACACUUUAAAAUGAUGAAGGUACGUUAUUCAAGGUAAAUGGUCAACGUCUUAAAUUAUUUCUUGAGCCCAAUAAAGAAUUAGAAGAAAUAGAUGUGAUCCCUUUUUACCUUCCCAUGGAAAAUUAGAGCCCGACAUUUUUAAUCUGAUGUUUUUGGACCACGUAUAUAUUUUUCGGAAUAAAAUUUGCAUCUAGAAGCAUGCUCGAGGAGGCGGGCCCACAGAGGAGCCUGGCACAUGGCGGGCGCCCUGAGGAUGAGGGCGGGCGCCCAGCCCCUGUCUCCCCUCGGCCCCGGUCUCCUCUGUAGCGAUAAACUCAUCUAUGGUUAUCCAAAUAAUCACGCGGAUGGUUUGUUAAGCACGCAUGGCGGCGGGAGUAACCCGAGCAAAUCCUAGAGGCACUUUCUAAACCCUAUAUAAACAGACAUUUGACGUCAGCUUUCAACACCAAUUCAUUCAGGCCACUCAUCUUUGCACCAAUCAUUCAACCCCCUGAUUGGUCGUUGCCUUUUGAAAUUAUGUGUGAUGCUAGUGAUUAUGCUGUGGGGGCAGUUUUGGGAUAAACUAAAGAUAAGAAGCAUCAUGCAAUUGCUUAUGCCAAUAAAACUUUGACAGGAGCUCAACUUAAUUAUGCAACCACUGAAAAAGAGCUUCUGGCCGUUGUCUUUGCCAUUGAUAAAUUUAGAUCUUAUUUAUUGGGGCUAAAAUAAUUAUUUAUACUAAUCAUGCUGCACUAAAAUAUCUACUCACUAAAAAAGAUACUAAACCUCGCCUAAUUAGAUGGAUCUUAUUACUUCAAGAAUUUGACUUAAAAAUAAAAGAUAAAAAGAGAGUAGAAAAUUCUGUUGCUGAUCACUUGUCUAGAAUGCAUUUUAAGAAACCACAGGAAACCUCGAUUAAUGAUUCACUCCGGGACGACAUGCUCUACGGGAUUAAUAGGUCUGACCCCUGGUAUGCAGAUAUUGUUAAUUUUAUGGUUUCAGGGUAUGUACCACUAGGAGCGAACAAGAAGAAGCUUAUUCAAGAAAGUCGUUCACAUAUAUGGGAUGAGCCAUACCUCUUCCGAGUAUGUACUAAUGGCUUACUCAGGAGAUGUGUGACCACUGAGGAAGGAUGGAAGAUCAUCGACAGAUGUCAUUCAUUACCAUAUGGAGGUCAUUAUGGAGCAUUCCGUACACAUUCAAAGAUCUGGCAGUGUGGAUUCUACUGGCCUACAAUGUAUGAAGAGAUGAAGCAAUAUAUCAGAUGAUGUGGGUCAUGUCAAAGGCAUAGAAACAUAAACACAAGAGAUGCCAUGCCACUCACCAACAACCUUCAGAUUGAGCUCUUUGAUGUAUGGCGAAUAGACUACAUGGGUCCAUUCCGCCAUCAAAGAAGUGUGAGUUCAUCUUGGUGGAAGUUGACUACGUCUCCAAGUGGGUGGAGGCACUACCUUGCAAACAUGCCGACAACAUCAGUUCAGAGAGGAUAUUUGAAGAAAUUAUAUUUCCAAGAUUUGGAGUCCCCAGAGUAGUGAUAAGUGAUGGAGGAGCACACUUCAUCGACAAACGCUUCGAGCACUAUCUAUCAAACACAUGGAAUCCGCCACAACGUCGCUACCCCCUAUCAUCCCCAGACAAGUGGCCAAGUAGAGACUUCCAAUAAGCAAAUCAAGAAUAUUCUUUAGAAGACAGUCAAUGAGAUGGGAACGGCAUGGAAGGACAAGUUACCUGAUGCACUCUGGGCAUAUCGGACAGCAUAGAAGACCCCAAUUGGAAUGUCCCCAUAUGAGUUGGUGUACGGGAAGACUUGCCACCUACUUGUUGAACUAGCGUUCAAAGCACACAAGGCCAUAAGGAGAUGGAAUAUGGACUUAGAUGUCGCUGGAGAUCAUAGAAGAAUGCAACUAUCAGAAUUGGAAGAAUGACGAGAAAAAGCAUAUCACAAUUCGAAGAUCUACAAGGAGAGAGUCAAAAGGUGGCAUGACAAGAGGAUCAAGAAGAAGAAGUUCGCACCCGGAGAUAAGGUCUUACUUUUUAAUUCUAGGGUAAAGCUCUUUGGGCAUGGAAAACUCCAGAGUAAAUGGGAAGGACCAUUGAAGGUAAUCAAUUCAUCAUCCCACGGAGCUAUCACACUUCAAAAUGAUGAAGGUACGUUAUUCAAGGUAAAUGGUCAAUGUCUUAAAUUAUUUUUUGAGCCCAAUAAAGAAUUAGAAGAAAUAGAUGUGAUCCAUUUUUACCUUCCCAUGGAAAAUUAGAGCUAGACCUUUUUAAUCGGACGUUUUUGGACCACGUAUAUAUUUUUCAGAAUAAAAUUUGUAUCUAGAAGCAUGCUCGAAGAGGCGGGCCCACAGAGGAGCCAGGUACAGUUCGGGCGCCCUAAGGAUGAGGGCGGGUGCCCAGCCCCUGUCUCCCCUCAGCCCCGGUCUCCUCCGUCGCGAUAAACUCAUCUAUGGUUAUCCAAAUAAUCACGCGGAUGGUUUGUUACGCACGCAUGGCGGCGGGAGUAACCCGAGCAAACCCUAGAGGCACUUUCUGAACCCUAUAUAAACAGACCCUUGACGUUAGCUUUCAACACCAAUUCAUUCAAGCCUUAUCUCCUUCCUCAAUUAGAGCUUGCUUAGUUCCUCGCUGCUCCAAUGGCUGACGAGUUCCACGACGAUUGGGAAGUCAUCCCCUACGACCUCAACAAGAAGCCCAAGGAAGACCCGACGCCUACGCUCUCGUCCCGGCAAACACAGAGCGACAGCUAGCAGCCAUGCCAUCACGCCAACACAGCUCCACCAAAUCCUACUAUGCCCAACCAGUUCUCACCGUGCCGCCACAGCCCCUACUUCUCAAGGGGCCGUCAGCCAAGAAGGAGGCCAUCGUCAAGGUGCCAGCCGGCACGAGGAUCCUGCCACCUAGACCCAAUGAGCGGGUCGUCGGAGUCAAGACCAACCGGAGCGGUGAGAUUAGCAGCGUCCGCUACACCACAGAGGAGGAGAGGCCUUACUUUGAGGGGGUUAGAGUAGCCAAAGUCCGCUUCAUCCCUCCACAGGAAGCCCCGAAGCACGCCCUCAAUGCUCUCAAGACACCUCCUAAGCGCCGCAAGACUAUAGCAGAUGUAGAUGAGGACGUUCGUAGGCUAGACAAGGUCAUCAUAGAGCUCCAGUCCUCGAUUAACUCCAUCAAUAGGCAGCUCUCUAACCAGAACACCAUUAUACUAGGUCUUAAUCGUGAUCUCGCUAGUGCUAAUAAGAAGAUUAGGGAGUUAGAGCGCUGCUAAGUUAUCUAGAUUAGAUCUUGAGGCAGUGUAUCUUAGUUAUUCAUCAUUAGAUUUGAUUAGAUUCGACUUAGAUCUAUUAUUAGAUUCAGUUCAUUAUUAGUCAGUUGUAAUAAAUGCCUCGAGAUUAAUAAAGAUUAUUAUUAUGUCUUGUGUGUCUCUACUUUAUUUUUAUGCAAGUAAGCAGAAAACAAGUAUGGGGAAGAUCCCCCGACAUGCCAAACGCACUUCGAACACACCACUCCACGAUUCAGGUACAUACUCUGCACACUUUACACAUACACAUAAAUCUUGGUUCGUGCAGAAUAUUGUCUCCGACAUGAUAAAUUAAAAAGAUUAAAAUGUUUCUAAUCAUGAUCAAUCUCACUCUAUGAUAUUUCCUGAAAACUUGAAAUUAUUAAAGUUAUUUAAAAACCCUGUGUUACUUAAGUCACUGUGGAAUGUGAGAUGGUAGAGUAUGAGUACCUUAUUCUUGAUAUCGUUGUUACUUGGAGAAUUUAUUUCAAAAUCUUCAAAAAUUCUAGCUACCAUCCUCAGUGUUUUAAAUGCCUGCUAAACUUGAAAAUAUAAAUUAUAAAAGCUAUCUACUCUGUAUUGAGUUCGUUCAAAAUGAGUUAGACCCUUGUUGAGAGAUUUAUCAUGCUCCUAAGAUCAAGACAUUUAUUCAGAAAGAUUCACUCUUCUGAAGUAUUAUUGCGUUAGAGGCAUGGGCUAUACAAAAAAUAAAUAAAUAUUGCGAGGAAAUAAAAAGGAGCAAGUGCUCGACAACCUCGCAAAAAAUGGAUAAGUGUCCGGUAGUAGAAUUAGGGGUACCUCGGUAUCCACCUGAAAAAAAAAUGAUGAUGAGAUAUGAUAAAAAUAUGAUGAUAGCCCAUGGUCCCUCUAAUAAGCAAUAUGCCAGUAAGUGUUGACAAGUUUUUAAUUUUCAAAGUUUUUGAUCUAAGAGUAUGGCAUUCCUCUCCUCGGAUCCCGUUUUGAUCAGACAAUAAAUACAAGGUAAGAAUGCUUGAGAAUUUCUACAAAUUAAAAUAGCAUCAGUGAUAUAUAGAAAAGAUAAAUGAGCGAUCUGAGAGAACCUAUGAGGAUAAAGGUAUGCUAAAUUUCUUUUCAAAAAUAUACAAUAAAAACUCCAAGUGACAGGAUUGAGAAGAAAGGCCCACACGUCGGGAUUACAUAUUGAUAUUAACUUGUGCGCCAAUUUUCCUCGGCCUAGAAGGUUCCACAAGCCACACGAAUGAGUGGGAGGCCGAGCGGGCCCACAUGCAGGGCACCCGCCCAACCCCCCUAGGCGCCCGCCCUCCUCUGCGGGCCAAUCAGCACGAGUCUCGCGGAUUAUGCUCCACCGCCUUUGAGGAUCAAGGAAAACCGUUCAAUCAAGGUUGGUUUGAUCCGACGGCCCAGAUUCAUUUGAGAGGGCUAUAUAAGCAAGGCCCCUGGCCCCUGGAGAAGGCAAUCCCCAUUAUUCAUUAGCAUAUUUUCCAGAGAGGAUUCAGAGAGAGAGGUUCCUUUAGGGUUCCAACCUCGUAGGGGUUAGCACCCAAUGUGAGAGUAGAAUUAGUUCUACUAGAUUGAGAGAGAUAGAGUGGAGGUGUAGAUCGGAGGAAGCCCGGCCUGUCGGUGUCUACUCUAAGGUUGUACCUGCGGGAUCAAGUCUCUUAACCCGAGGCUUGCUCCUAGGAUUCUUUAGUAUUUCGACUUCUAAAUUCUAGUAAGUUCUUUGUUUUAUUGUUCUUUGGUUUAUGAGUUUACUUUGAUUUCUUCGUGUAGAGUUUAGAGUAAUCAUCUCUAGCGUAAACGUGGUGUUUGGGCUAGGAUACUCAUAGAUAUCCCCUGUCUAGCCGGACCAUGGUAGUAGCGAGGAACGUGACAUUUUUGAGUUACCUUUGUAGUCCAUAAUCCUGUUAGCCGGAUCGAUAGGGUUUAUAGGUGCGGGUCGAACAUCCUCUGUGGUGUCUAGAUUCCGUGAGCCUCCCAAACAGAACAGUAGAUCAUCCUUACCAAGGUUAGAAUGAGGGUGCAGUUGAAGUCUUCUCUAUACAUCACUCACAUCGAAUCAUAGUGGUUGUAGCCUAAAGGCUAGUAGUAAUAGACCUGGUUAGUCAGAUGCACGCUUUCUUCUAGUGGUAAAAAUAUAAAUACGAUACUCUGGAUAACAUACCGGGUGAAGUGCUCACCGAUAUCUGUGCGCUUGCGGAUCAAUUCCUAAUUGCGUUACCAAAUAUCAACAUGCUACACAUCAUAUAGUCUUUUAAAUUUGCUUAUACCGGGUCACUUAAUCCAAGGUUGGUUUCAUCACUGAGUUCCAACUAUUAGGACAUUUAUCACAGUUAAGUUGCUUCACUCUCACAUUGUACCUAUAACUCUGUAGACUUUGGUGUCAUCUGAUCCUCAUAAGCACAACUCUCAAGCUAUGAGUGUCACGAAUGACAUAUACCUCCAUUCUUAUUAGCACUCUCCAAAUAGAACAGUAUCUUGAAUCAAAAACCAAAUUUACCAAGCACUUGAUGUAUUUAUAGUUGAUCUAACUUUUACCAAUCCUUCUCCUUGUAACUCCUUUAACUAGGCUACCCCCUUAAGAAAGGUAGCUUGCACUUUUUCUUGACAAGUUAUCUAGCAUUGAGACCUUCUGACAUCCCAAGAAACCUAUGUGUAAGAGAACAAACAGGUUUCCUGAAAUUUCCUCGCGAUAUGAAAACAUCAGCGUAGUAAAAUAGACAUAACUCUUGUUCUGUUAAUCCAAUAUAGUUGCAGCUUAUACCGUUUGAAAACUUAUGAAAUUCCGUACAACUUUCAUAUAGAAGACUUCCUUAGGUUCUGUAUUUAAGCUUAGGUAAAACAGCCAAACAUAAUAUCCCUCCUGACAAUGUCUCAGCACCCAUGCAGUAACUUGCAGCAGUCAUAUAUCGAGCUACAUAACUCAUAUGGUGACGAUCCUUAUAUUAAUGAAAAUCUUAUAAAAUCCUCUACAACUUUUGUAUACAACUCUUUCCCAGAUUCUGAGGUUAAGUUCUUGGAAAAUAGGAAAUAUCAAAAAUGUCCAGACUUUGAAACAGAACAGAAACAUCCAAGUGUAAAUAUCAUAUCUCGGGUUCUACUUAUCCAAAUAAGUUCCAGCUUAUACUGUUGGAAAGCUUAGCAAAUUUUCUAAAACUUUCUAUAGAACACUUUUCCAAAUUCUAUAGUUAUAUUUGUCUCAAACAGUAAGUAACCGAAACUGGUCUAGAUCUCUUGACAGCACAACUAUAUCAUCUUGUGAUUUUUGUAACUUGCAAACCAUAACAGCUAUGAGGGUUAUUCUUGUGGUCAGAGAAAGAUCUUGAAUUCUACUGCCAUCCAGAAUUUUCUCAUGAUUUGUGGCCAUCCAAGAACAGAGAUAUAAACUGAUAAAUAUGAGAUACUUCAUAAAGGCACGAUAAGAUAACAAGAGAAAUCCAAAACCCAACUAUUUAUUCCAUUAGUCCUUAUACCUUAGUCCUAUAAACUAAUGAAAUUGUUGAGAAAACCCACAAGAUCAUUGCACUCAUUAUAAAGAUCCAAAUCAAGCAUAAACAUAAUGACAAACCAAUUAAGCAUUAAAGGUUCACAAGGCACACAAGCUCAACUUUCGCUACAAGCGUUUUUAUUACACAAGGGGGACAUAGACUCCUAUAUCUUAAACUCAUUGUGGCUACUUCCAUGAUGCAUUGUUGAUUCCUCUGUGGACAAGAGUUUACAUAGUGUCCUUCCUGUCGACAGUGAUAACACUUUCUCUUAGCUGGAUCCUUUGUGAUGUCACUUUCCACUGAAGUGUUCCUCAGUGUGUUAUCAGCUCGCUGACUAUGAAGGUUUAUCUUUGGCUGGUUAGCUUUCUUUCUACCUUGGUUGAUCCUUCGAGGUUGAAACUAUCUAUAAGUGAUUCUCCAUCGAUCUGUGCGUACCUCAUGAGCAGUGAGGUUAGCUUGAGAAGUUUCUUAGUCUCUAAGGUUUGGAUUUUCCUGACAAGACUUUGAAGCUAAAUGUGGCAACUUAGGAUUUGAAUGUUGAUCACUUCCCAUUGCUGGCUCUAGUGCUUGCCUUCCUCUUCUUGUCCUUGUUAGUCACACAAAUUGGUUUUGUCUUAACUUCCUUUUUAGAUGACCUAUUCCGAAGACAAGGGAGACUAUAAUGCUCACAAUAGUGGCAUUGAUCUUGAUAUCCUUAUGUAUUGCUACCAAGACUUCCAUGGGUUCUCAUAUUUUUUCCAAGAUUCAGCUACUUGUCUCUUCACUGGUCCUGAGAUGCGCUGUUGAGAGUUCCCAAUCUGAGUCAUUCCUUCCACUACUUGUUUUUGCAUGUCUAGAAGCUUCUCCUUGUCGAAUGCUUUUAUGGUUGGCAUAUCUGGGUGCUUUUGUUCCUUCAUGCCCAUGGCCUCCUCGUUGUGAGCCAUCUAAAUAGACAAAGAGGGAGGAUUUAGAAUAGAGACAAAGUUUUAUAAUAGAAUAGGGCAGAAGUUAGCAUAACUUUUAUCAAUUAUCAAGGUUGAAGGGAAAAUAAGAAGUAAUCAAAGAUAGAAGCAUGCUAAAACGUCCGAUUCUAACUAGGCUUGCGUCCUAUAGUUAGCAUUGCUUUGAUACCACUUUGUGAUACCCGAUUUUAAGAACAAAACCAGAUAUACACCUUAUGUGAGUUUUAGAAGCCAAUUCUCACACAGAGCUACAAAUAAGGGGUAAUAUCAAAAGGCAAUGCAUAAAUUAUAUAACAUACAUAAUAAAUCAGAGAUAACCUUAGGCAGCAUAUAACAGAAGAUAACCCCAAACUUUGAGUAUUAACUUCUGUCUGCAGGAUCCAACUAACUGGUUGAUCACAAGCCUAAACUUCUCGUGAGGUUUGGGAAAAAUAGCAAGAGUGAGUCCAUGUUGAACUCCACAAUUAUAGCAUCUAGAUUGUAUAGAUCCCACAAUCUCAUGAUCAAUGUGAUAUAACUAAUAUAGAGCAUUAAAUAAUAAAUAUGAGCAUAUUAACACAACAAGAAUCAUCACCCUUAAUGUCGAUGUCCCCAACGCCACUCCUGACCGUGAGUUCGGCUAGUAUACUAGUUUUUAACACUCUACGGAGGUUGUACAUCUUUACCCAUGAGUCAUGAUUUACCCUUUCACCCGAGGUGAUCAGCCUCUUAACACACUACCAAGGAAGGUCGGUAGGGAUCACUAUGAAGUCUUUCAAAAGUUCGUCUAACAAGUUAGGACCGCUUGGUUUCAUUGGCCAGUUCGUGUGAUCCACCCGUAGGAAUCCUCGGUCUGAUAUUCCCCAAUUGCACCACAUGGGUAACCGCAAACGAGCUAGAAAAUUUACUCAUACUUUACUGUAGCCAGAGCCAUUAUAGCCUUCAUGGUUGCACUGUUAUCUCGGGUGAUCACGUAUAGAUAAAUCCUCAAGUUGCUAAAAAGUCAUUUUUAUCGUUUGUUGCUUAAACCUUAAUCAAGUCACAAGAUCAUGGUCAUAGAAAUAAAACCCAAAUUACUAUACUUGCCUUGAUCCAAUAGCUCCUGCUGAUCCUAGUGAUUAUGCUAGUCUUACUUGUUACCAAGGCUCUGAUCUUGAUCUCCAAAAUAACACUCUUUAUCACCCACGAAUUGCUCACCGUCUAUCCUCGAUCAUCAACACACAAACAACUAGAGACAACAUACAUGAAGCAAACAAGACUACAAUUAGAACAGUAUAUCAACAGUAGAAAAACAGCAAGAAAAGUUUAUAAAAUGAUUCUACACAUCGCUACGAUCACAUGGACGUAAAGAUCACAAAAAUCGAAGCUGAAACGGAGAAGAUAUAAAUUUUCUAAGAUUUUCUAUAGAAAAGUAAUUAAUUAAAUAGGGCCACAAAAUUAAAAAGUUUCAAAUAUUACUAACAUGUAGAUCUCGUAAAAAUGAAUCUAACGCAAAUUGAAUGGGUCAAUUUGGAGUUAAAAUAAAUAUUUUAUGCCAAAACAACUCUAGUGACAAAAUUGUAAAUGUAGAAAAUAUAUUUUUCAUUUCAUACUGAGGCUAUUUACAUUUUCAAAACCGAAAGGGCGUACUUUAGAAAGACGCCAGAGGACUGCGAGUUCUAAUAUAGAAAAAGGCAAUCUCGUCCUUUGAUUCUCGAUCCAACGGUGCAGGUUCAAUCUAGGAGGAGGGAGAGAGAGUGCUGGUGGGGCACAGUAGCCCAAGGCGGCGCCAUGGUUGGAAUUCGGCCUGACCUCGCUGGAGUUGGGCGAGAAAGAGCUCCGGUGCACCAUUUAACAAGCCGAGAGCAUGGGGAGCAAGGGAGGACCAACGCGAACUCACCUAGAGGCUUCACUAGGCCGGCGAUAGCUUGUGGGUGGCGCGUGUCGCGAAACGGUGAACGAUGAGUUCCUGCAAGGGUUCGACAUCGUGGGUAGAGCGAGUUAGGGCCUGAAAUAAAGGAAGAAAAGACCCAGAGAACACUCGAUCUCACUGCGAAGCUCGGCAAGGAACUUACACGGGAAAAACACAACCGGAGGGCAACGAAAAUCGGCAAUGGCGAUGGCGGCUUGUUCCUUUGUUCACCGAGAUCCAAAAACAAGACUGGACAGUGCCUAGGGCUUCACAAACAUUGCGGAUGGAAAAGGAGAGCGCACAGGGGCUCACGAAGCUUUAUACCGACUCGGGUUAGUGCAACACGCAGGAAUUCCUGAGAUUUUAGGGAUUGGGAAGCCGCCGAGGAUUGUAUCCUGAACGGACUCAAGGUAGACGACAGCUGACAUGUGGGUCCCACCAGGCAGUGCCUCAACGACGCGAGAUCGGUUGGUUAGCGAGAGAAGGAGGGGGAGCGCCUGCGUCCUAGCUGGGCCGUGGCUUCGCACACGCAUGCCAAUCGGGCCGAGAGAGAAAGGUAGAGGGAGAGGGCGCGUCGAGUGGGCCGAGCUACCGCUGCUGGGCUGAGCUGAGCGAUGGGUCGAGACGUGAAGAAUAGAGGGAAGGGAGGGGCGCGCUGGCGGGUCGAGCUGCUAGGAGGAAGCAGGCCGCGUGGUGGCGAGGUGGAGUGGGCCUCCGGGCCAGAAUAGAGCUGGAGGGGUUUUGUUUCUUUUCUUUUUUAAAAAAAAAAUCUUUUCUUUCAAGCCAUUUUCAAAUCCAAUUUGAAAAGCAAUUUAAAUCCAGUUUUUAGGCUUUGGUCAAAAACCACUCAUCUCAAAAUAAAAUGCACCAGCAUGUUUACACACAAUUGUUGCUAAGCCUUAAGAUAAAUUUUAUUUUAAAGAAAAAUAUUAUUUUUCCUACAUUUUCAUGAGCACAGAAAUGAAGAAUUAAACCAAUUUUCAUCUAUUUUAAAAUGAGCAAAUUUUAGGGUGUUACAGUAGGAAUUUAUAACCACUGAGGGUCUAUCUCUUUUGGUUGGCCCAGUCACAUGCAAUACAACAAGUGCAAGAUAUAGGCAUGUAACACCACGUGAAGGCAGAUGCAGGCAUACAACACCGUGCAAGUACUACUACAGAAUGAGGCAUUGGUCGAUGCCCAAAAUCGCCAAAAACCUCGGCCUUUUUGCGGCCCGAGGCUAAAGGCCCCUUUAACACAGGCUAAAGGGUCCUGCCCAACGGCUACUGACAGGUACUGUCAGGGUUAGCACCGGUUCGUGUUAACAACCGGUGCUAAAGGGUCCCCUUUAGCACCGGCCAGUGCCAUGGGCCUAGGCAAAGCCUUUAGCACCGGUUUGUAACACAAACCGGUGCUAAAGGUCCGGUUUAUAGGCCGGCUACCUCCCGAGAGCACCAUUGUUGUUCUUGGAGCUUCCAUUUUGUUGUUUUUGCUUGGUCUUCCUUUGUUCUUCAUCUCCGACGUCCAUCAUUGAUCUUCUUCGACUCCGUCAUCGUCUCUUCAUGCUUGGAGGUGACUAACUGCAUCCUUUCUUGUCUUUGUCAUGUUGUUUUUGGCUUGUGAUUUUCCCAUUAUCUUUAGCUCAAAUCCACUUUGUUAUUUUGAAUCAUUCACUUGAAUUAGUAUCCAUAUAUAUAUAUAUAUAUAUAUAAUUAUAUAUAUAUAUCAUAUUUCAUGGUUGACCUAGUAUUAAUGUAGUUUGCAAGAAUGAAUUAUAGUAUCUUUUUAUGAUCUUCGAAAGUAGGAUAGUUCAAAUUAAUUAGUUUGUUAAUAUCACUUGAUAAGUUUUUAUUACUACAUAAUGUCCAUUGUAUAAUUUAAAAGAUUUUGUUGAAGUAACUAGACAAAUAAAGGAUAUUAUUAGCUUCUUCUUUAAUCAUACAUGUUUACAAGUAAAUGUGGAAUUUAUAAUUGUUUAAAAAUUGAGUAUGGAUAGUAGAUGGCAACCAUGACCGGGUCUUCGGUCUCUCAACGGGUUCAAAAGCGAUACCGGCCGGAACUCCCUCUCAUUACUUGUGGCAAGUGUGGGCAGAAGAUUGUGAUGGAGUACAAAGUGUCGAAAGAGGGAGUAAACAAGGUUCGUAUAAUCUACAAGUGUCCGGAUCGUAAUGUGAGUUAUUUCUAGACAUUUGCUUAUAUAUGUGCAUAUUUUUUAAUGAUAUUAAUUAAACUUUUGAUUGUCUCUUUGAAUUUCAGUGGGACGGUACCGGCGGAUGUACAGGUUGGUACUGGGAGGAAGAAUACAUUCAACACAUCAAGAAAUCUUUUGCACAGGUGGUUGAGGCUGAAGGUGAUGAGGUAGUGAGCCGGCGAAAGGAGUUCAAUGAUGUUGAUCAAGCGAAUGAUCUAUCUAUUGUAGUUGGGAUCGGACGCGAACUAAUUAUGUUGCUUAAGUGCAUUUUAGUUUUGGUUUUUUUAGUGCUAGUUGCGAUUGUAUUUGUUGUAGCCAAGCUUGCUUGAAUUAAUCAACUAUGUCUGUUAGACAUGUUGUGCAAUAAGAUGAGAAACUAUAUGUGUGCAUGGUUUUCAUAAUAUAUAUGUUAUAUUUAAUGCAGAUGGUAACACGUAAUUGGAUGUAUAAUGCCGAUCGGCGCUUCGAAGAGUUCAUUAAUGGCGUGCACUAUUUCUUAAGUGUGGCCGAGAUAAAUAAGAGGGACGGUUUCAUGUGCUGUCCAUGUGCCGUGUGCAAGAAUUUGACGGAAUAUUCUAACUCAAGAACUCUUCAUUCACACUUAUUAAAGUCUGGUUUCGUACCAAACUAUAUUUGUUGGACCAAGCAUGGAGAAAGCGGGAUUAUAAUGGAUCAAGGUGAAGAAGACGAAGAAGAAUUGGACCAUGCCAACAUUAUUGCUCAGUACGGUGGCUUCAAUGACAUUGCAAUGGGGGGAGAUAAUGAAGAAGAGGUAGCGGGAGAAGAUGAUCGGAGCGAUGAUGCUUUUGGUGAUGCCAUCCGUGAUGCACAAAGAGAAUGUGAAAGUGAGAAAGAGAAAGCCAAGUUCGAGCGCAUGCUAGAGGACCACAGGAAAUCGCUAUAUCGCACCGCUGAAGAGGGGCAAAAAAAGCUGGGUAUCACACUGGAAUGCUGCAAUGGAAGACAAAGAAUGGUACAUCUGACAAGGCAUUUGGGCAGUUAUUGAAGAUCAUAAAAAAGAUGCUUCCGAAAGGCAACGAAUUGCCCACCACUACGUAUGAAGUAAAACAGGUUGUCUGCCCUUUGGGAUUAGAAAUCCAGAAGAUACACACAUGUCCUAAUGACUGCAUCCUCUACCGUGGGGAGGAAUACGAGAAUUUGGAUGCAUGUCCAGUUUGUAAGGCAUCACGGUAUAAGAUCAGACGAGAUGAUCCUGGCGAUGUUGAGGGUGAAGAACGUCAUAGGAAGAAAAUUCUUGCCAAGGUUAUGUGGUAUGCUCCUAUAAUACCACGAUUAAAACGUCUGUUCAGAAACAAGGCCAAUGCAAAGUUGUUGCGAUGGCAUAAAGAAGACCGUAAGAUAGACAAUAUGCUGAGACACCCUGCCGAUGGAUCCCAGUGGAGAGCGAUAGAUAGAGAAUUCCUAGAUUUUGCAGAUGAUGCUAGAAACUUGUGGUUCGCCUUAAGUACAGAUGGUAUGAAUCCUUUCAGUGAGCAGAGGAGUAGUCACAACACUUGGCCAGUUACUCUAUGUAUCUACAACCUUCCUCCAUGGCUAUGCAUGAAGCGGAAGUUUAUUAUGAUGCCGGUGCUUAUCCAAGGACCGAAGCAACCUGGCAACAACAUAGAUGUCUACCUGAGGCCAUUAGUUGAGGAACUUCAACUUUUAUGGAGCAAACCAGGAGUUCGCGUGUGGGAUGAGUACAAACAAGAGCACUUUGACCUACGAGCAUUGCUAUUUGUAACAAUCAAUGAUUGACCAGCUCUGAGUAAUCUUUCAGGCCAGUCAAACAAGGGAUAUAAUGCAUGCACACAUUGUUAUGAAGACCUUGACUGUGUAUUUUUGAAAAAAUGUCAGAAGGUCGUGUACCUUGGCCACCGUCGGUUUCUUCCUGUGAACCACCCAGUACGAAAGAAAGGCAAGCAUUUCAAAGGCAAGGUAGACCACCGGACCAAGCCUCUCAAUCGAACCGGGGAUGAUGUACUCGAAAUGGUCAAGGAUAUAAAAGUGGUAUUUGGAAAGGGACGAGGCAACGAACCUAUUCCCAAGGAUGCUAAGGGACACGUACCCAUGUGGAAGAAGAAAUCCAUAUUUUGGGAGCUACCUUACUGGAAUGUCCUAGAGGUCCGCAACGCGAUCGACGUGAUGCAUCUGACAAAGAAUCUUUGUGUGAACUUGCUCGGAUUCAUGGGUGUCUACGAGAAGUCUAAGGAUUCACUUGAAGCAUGACAAGACUUGCAGCGCAUGAAAGAACGAGACAACCUGCAUCCAGAAAAGACAGAUGAUGGACGUCAUUACUUAAGCCCUGCUAGUUACACUCUGAGCAAAGAAGUGAAGGAAAGCAUGUUUGAAUGUCUUAGCAGCAUCAAGGUACCAUCUGGAUUCUCCUCCAAUAUCAAGGGAAUAAUUAAUGGGCCAGAGAAGAAAUUCCAGAACUUAAAGUCCUGUGACUGUCAUGUUCUAAUAACAUAAUUGCUGCCGGUGGUUUUAAGAGGAAUUUUACCUCCACACAUACGUCUAGCCACCGUAAAGCUAUGUGCAUUCCUCAAUGCAAUUUCUCAGAAGGCAAUCAAUCCAGAGCAACUAGCUACUCUGUAGAAUGAUGUCGUUCAAUGUCUCGUCAGCUUUGAGUUGGUGUUCCCUCCAUCCUUCUUUGAUAUCAUGACACACCUCCUAGUUCAUCUGAUCAAAGAGAUUCGUAUUGUCGGUCUUGUGUUCCUACACAACAUGUUCCCCUUCGAGAGAUUCAUGGGUGUCCUAAAGAAAUAUGUCCAUAGUCAUUCCUAGCCAGAAGGAAGCAUUGUCAAGGGCUAUGGAACAGAGGAGGUCAUAGAGUUCUGUGUUGACUUUAUUCCAGACCUUGACCCAAUUGGCAUUCGUGAAUCUCGACACGAGGGCAGACUCAGCAGAAAGGGAACACUUGGGAAGAAAACAUAUAUUGGUACGGGAGACGAUUACUUCAAUAAAGCACACUACACAGUUCUCCAGAACUCCUCAUUGGUGGAACCAUAUGUUGAGGUACACAAAGAUUUCCUAUGGUCCCAGUGGCCUAGGAAGAAUGAAGCUUGGAUAAUGCGUCAGCACAUGGAAACUUUUGGCGAUUGGUUGCGCAAAAAAUGUCAGGGUGAUGAAAACAUUGAUGAGCAGCUUUAUUUGUUGGCCAGGCAACCAUCGUGGCAUGUCCUCACGUACAAAGGGUAUGAGAUAAAUGGUAACACAUUUUACAUAGUUGUCCAAGAUAAAAGGAGCACCAACCAAAACAGUGGUGUACGUGUGGAUGCCACGGAUCCAAAUGGGAAUAGACAAACAUAUUAUGGACGCAUAGAAGACAUAUGAGAACUAGACUAUGCAGUUAAUUUUAAAGUUCCUUUGUUUCGGUGCCAAUGGGUGAAGAUGACCGGGGGUGGGCUAAUAGUCGACAAGGAGUAUGGGAUGACAACCGUGGACUUUAACAAUAGUGGGUUCAAAGACGAACCAUUCGUCCUUGCUGCAGACGUGAGUCAGGUGUUCUAUGUGGAAGACAUGUCUACGAAACCAAAGAGAGGAAAAAUGAUGACCACUCAAUCGUCAAUGAGCCAAAGCGCCACAUUGUCCUUUUUGGGAAAAGAAACAUUGUCGGAAUUGAGGACAAGUCAGACAUGUCAGAUGAUUACGAAAGGGAUGAUCGAAUUCUACCCUUCAUAGUCAACAAAGACCCAAGCAUUCUAUUAAACAAUGAGGAUACUCCAUGGUUACGAUAGGAUCAUAACCAAGGGUCAUACGUCAAGAAGAAGUUCACUAUUGUGUCGGCUUAAUAUAAAGUCAUGUUUAAUAGUAUGUGUUCUGAGAAUUGUAUGAAACUAUAUUUGAGAAUUGUGAAUUUUGAUGAGUGUAACAAACUUUGUAUUCAUGACUUUUCCAUUUGGGACCAUCUAGGGUUCGGUCAAAGGGUGUUUUUGUAAAAACCAAUGCUCUGACUUUGGUCAAACUUGGUCAAAUGACCCAUUUGAUGACUUCAAAUGAAAAAAUUUAAAUACAAAGUUGUUAGAGAUCAUUAAGAUCUACAUUUGAUAUAAUGUCUAUUUUUCUAUUUGGAUAAAUUUGAGCCAAUCCUAAGCACAUUUCUUUAAAAUCCAAGACGGGUUUUGGUCAAACUUGGUCAAAUGACAAACUAAAUUACUUAAAAUGAAAAAAUUUUGAAUACCAAGUUGUUAGAUAUCAUCAAGAUCUAAACUUUUUAUAUACAUAAUUUUUCCAUUUGAGAAAGUUUAAGUUAACAAUACCCACCAAAUCUUGAAUCUCACACAAACUAUAUGAAACUAUAUGUGUCAAUUAUGGAUUUUCUACUACACCUUCCCAAAACUUUGUCAAAUGCAAAACUGGUCUAUAUAUUAAAUGUAGAUUUUGAUGAGUGGAACAAUAUUGGUAUUCAUGACUUUUCCAUUCGAGACCAUCUAGGGUUCCGAUACCGAUGCGUGGCUAUGAAUUCUUUCAAAAUUCAAAAUUGAGUGGUUCAAACUUUUCCAAAUGAAAAGUUGACCAUUAGACUAAAUGUAGAACUUGAUGAGUGUAACAAGCUUUGUAUUCAUGACUUUUCCAUUUGGGAUCAUCUAGGGUUCGGUCAAAGGGUGUACUCAUCAAGAUCUACAUUUUUAUAUGAUAAAUAGAUUUUUUAUUUGAUGAAAACUGUACCCUACUAGCAUUCUGAGUAAUAAAUGACAAAAAUAAAAAGUUUAACGUCAAUAUCAUGUGAAAAUAGAUUUCUAGUUGAUUGGAUAUAGUUUUUGUAAAUUUAUUGGAAUAAUAUACUUUUGCAUUAACAAAAUACUAAACAUUACUUACAAAAUUAUUGCAAAUUAAAAAAAUACAGUAAGAUAUUUAAGGUUAAAAAUUUUUAAGUGUACAUUAAAAAAAAUUACAAUACAUGUCACUCUUUAAAAAAUAUUAUGCAAAAUAUUUAAUUUACUAUACAAUUUAUAAUAUAAAGUGUAUAUAUAAACACUUUAAAAACCCUAAACUAAAAAACAGGCCCUUUAGCACCAGCCUAUGGUUGGAACCGGUGCUAAAGGGUCUUGAAAAUUUGAGGACCCCGUCCGAGCCCGCCAAGGACCCUUUAGCACCGGCCCGUGGCUGGAACCGGCUAAUAACACGAGCCGAUGCUAAAGGGUCACAUAUAUAUAUAUAUAUAUGUAUGUAUAUAUAUAUUUAUAUAUGUAUGUAUAUAUAUAUAUAUAUAUAAUACAUGUAUAUUAUAAAUUGUAGUGUUUUGAUUUGUAUAUAUAUUUAAGUAUAUAUAUACACUAAAAAAUAAUGUAUGCUAGUAUAUUAUUCUAGUAUUACUUUUUAGUAUAUUAUUCUAGUAUUACUUUUUAGUAUAUUAUUCUAGUAUGCAUAUAGUCUGUAAUAUAUAUUUUAAUUUCUAGUGUUUUAUAUAUAUUAUUGUUUGUACUAUUAUUCUAGUAUUAUUUUUUUAGUAUAUUAUUCUAGUAUAUUACUUGGCUUAAAAGACUUUUUAGUAUAUUAUUCUAGUAUAUUAUGAAUUGUAGUGUUUUGUAUAAAUUAUUGUUUUUCUACUAUUAUUCUAGUAUUAUUUUUUAGUAUAUUAUUCUAGUAUAUUACUUGGCUUAAGACUUUUUAGUAUAUUAUUCUACGAUAUUAUGAAUUGUAGUGUUUUGUAUAUAUUAUUGUUUGUACUAUUAUUCUAGUAUUAUUUUUUAGUAUUAUUUUUUUAGUAUAUUAUUCUAGUGUAUUACUUGGCUUAAAAGACUUUUUAGUAUAUUAUUCCAGUAUAUUAUGAGUUGUAGUGUUUUGUAUAUAUUAUUAUUUUUUACUAUUAUUCUAGUAUUAUUUUUUAGUAUUAUUUUUUAUAUAUUAUUCUAGUAUAUUUCAUGGAUUAAGACUUUUUAGUAUAUUAUUGUACUAUAUUAUGAAUUGUAGUGUUUUGUAUAUAUUAUUGUUUGUAUUAUUACUCUAGUAUUAUUUUUAGUAUUAUUUUUUAGUAUAUUAUUCUAGUGUAUUACUUGGCUUAAAAGACUUUUUACUCUAUUAUUCUAGUAUAUUAUGAAUUGUAGUGUUUUGAAUUGUUAUGAAAUAUAUUGCGCUAGUAUAUUAUUCUAGUGUAUUUCUUAUAUAGUUUGGUGACUUUUUAGUUUGGAGCACUCUAGCACUUAUAUUAUUCUAGUGUAUUUCUUAUCUUAUAUAGAAUAUAUAUAUAUAUAUAUAUGGUUGCAGACAUAGAAAUGGCUGACCGUCCUCACGAUGAUCCUGAUUAUAUGGAAGAUGCCAUUCAAAAUAUGAUCGACGACGAUAGUCAGUACUUUAUUGAUUACAACGAGAUCAUGCAAGACAAUCCGACUGAGCAACAAGAGGGCAAUGCUCCUGAGCAACAAGAGGGCAAUGCGCCUGAGCAACAACUUAUCGUGCAACAAGAAGAAAUACCGGCGAGGUAUGUAAAUGUAAACAUAUAUAAUGCAUCUCUUGCAUUAGGUUUUAGACUUACUUGGUUAUUAAUUUAGUAUUUUUGUUUCUAUAUCUACGUGUAGCCUUCUGGAUCGACCUCUACGGGGAGAAGCGUACCUCCAUGAGGGCCAAAGAAGCCGUUGGAGGGCCGCUAUGUAAUCUCCAAGUUUGAGGUAGCUACAGGCAGUCCACUUGGUGAACAUGCAAAUAAAUAUGUGGGUCACUGUGGAUACCUUGUGAGAGACCAAAUACCGAUUUAGUGCUCGUGAAUGGUUAGAGAAGCGAGGUGCUUUUUUGUCUCUAAUCGUGACAAGGAGUUAGUUUGGAAAGCCGUCACGACAGUUUUCACCUUCGACACCAACGAUGAAGAGUUGAUGGUGCGAAUUUAUGACCGGACUAUGAAGAAGAUGGUGGUACUGUUCCAGAAUUGGAAGAAGUCUUUGUACAAUAAAUUUGUUAAGAAAAACGAGCCUUCAGAUUUCAACCUCAAGCAAUAUGUAAAGCUGAGGGCCUUCUAGGAUGACUUUGUGCAGUACAAAACAUCAGAAGAGGGCGAGGAACGAGCCAUUAGGAACAAAGAGAAUGCAAGUAAAAAGACAUACCACCAUCAUAUGAGAUCAGGUGGUUAUAAGAGUGUUGUUCCCAAGUAGGACCGAAUGGAAUAAGAGAUGCUUGCUAGGGGGGUCACACCUGAGACAAUAGCAAAUAAUUGGAGCGAGCGCUCCAAGCAUUGGUUCUACGGUCAUGGGGGAAGCGUGGACCUAGACACCGGAGUGCUAGUUUGGGGCUAAGAAAUCUCUAGAGCAGCAGAGAGACUAGUCCGUGCACGAGAGGCGGUUCAGUCUGGUGAGUUUAGGCCUAAUAGGGAGAAGGAUGAACUCACGUAUACGCUUGAAAAUCCUGAGCACGGUGGGUGUACGAGAGGCUAUGGGGCAGUUCCGUGGCUGCAAUCAUUCUAAGCUGAUCAAGAAACCUACAGAAGCCGCCAGAGAAAGAAGGAUGAGGAGGCAGAGCGGAUCCACCAGCUAGAAGCUUUUGUUCUACAGUCACGAGAGCGCGAGAAAUCUCAUAAAGAAUGGAUGGAGGCGGAGAUUAAAAGGCAAGUGCAAGUAGCACUUAGUCAAAUGAUGAAAGGGCAAGGUACAUCACAGCCUAAGGUCAACGUUAGCCCCCCAUGCCAGUUGAAAAGCAGCUACGUAUCCACGGAAGUACCAACCAUUCAGGAUGACACGAAGCUACGUGUCCAGAGGCUUUUACUACCUGUGAGCUGCAUGUACCAGAUGGGAAUGCAACAAAAAAGGUGGCUAUCGAUGUUGUCAACCCUAUCGACCGAACAAGAACUCCAAGAAUCCAUAAUCGACCAGUACCAGCAGAAUAUGCUAGCGUCUCGGUUGUUAGGUUUGAGAAAGGUUGUGGUAGUGUGCCUCUAGAAAUAGAGGGUGGACACGGAGAGAAGACCUUAGGUGAAGCUGAGAAGACAUUUAUUUGUUGGCGCAAGCGCUUCAUAAUUAUUCUAGGAAUGUCACUGUUGCCUCUUCCUCACCAUAGGUUUGUGCGUGAUUUUACUUCUUAUAUUAUUUAUUAUGUAUUGCAUUUAAAUAAAGUUUCCUCACAGAACUUGUUAUUUAAAUAAAGUUUCAAUUUAAAGAAAGAGCGGCUAAACCUAGAAAAGCCGUACUUUUAUGUAAAGCCAGAGGAACUGAGGAAGAAGGUGGCGGACCAGCAAAAGAAGCAGCGAGAAGCUCAGAAAAAGCCAACACUUUUGGACUAUGAACGGUCUCUGGUCAAGUCUUCACAGCCUAGAAAGAGAGUAGGAAAGGGGGUCCCUCAGCUCGGAGAAGUAUCAAAACCGGUGCCUCCUUUGAUUGUGCCAAAUCAAUACAGCUCAAAUGAAGACUUGAUGCCAAAGAAAUCCUUAGCAUUGUCUGAGCUAGAUUCCUUGAGCAUUACUUUGGACAGAGCGGUCUAAAUAUUGAAGACAUUGCCGCCAUUAUUGGAUGUCAAACUUUUGAAAAAGCUUCAAACAAGUGAGGAGUGCGCAUCGGACGCUCAGCGUCAGAAGCAGGGCAAUAACUAUUCGUGCGCCCGGUGAAGCCUGACGUCAGCUUUGCUUUUUUGACAUGGAGCAUCAGAUGCUAGGGAGCAUCCAGUGUGAGUACAUCGAACGCAUCCGAUGACCCCACACGUAAAACACCCUCUCUUCGUAUGGGUCCACUGUGCACCGGAUGCGUCUGGUGCUCACUUGACCACGUCUGGUGGUUUGAAUGUGACCGUUAGAGAUCGACACACGAGAUUCAAUUAGGGGACACGUGGCUAUCUUCUGAGCACCUGACAUAGGGUUCCAGCGUCUGGUGGCUCACCUGCUGUGCAUUCGGUGCCCCCGAUUUUUGUCUAGUGAAAGAGCCAACGACUCUAUUUGUUGAGGCGGCUUAUAAAUAGAAGGUGGCCAGCCUUGGGGGUUCUCUCUUGCAUAAUUGAACACUUAAGGCAUACUUUGAGCUAGAGAACACUCCCUUCACUCAUCUCCUUGAUUGAUUGCUAAUCCUAGUGAGAUUGAGUGAGAUUCAAGUGCAUUGCUUAGUGAGUUGCAUCUAGUGGCACUUGAUCCUUGAGUUUGCUAUGGAUUUCUUGUUACUCUUGGGUGUUUCCCGACACCCUAGACGACAAGGAGCAGUGGAGGUGUUGAGCUCAUGAUUAGAGAUUGUUUUGAGCCUCAUCAAGUGAUUUGUGAGGGAUUCUUAAGUCUUUCCCACGAGAGAUCAUAAUUGGCUACUCUAGUGGAUUGCUCGUGGCUUGGAGGAUCCCCAUCUUGUGAGUGGAUGUGCGGCACCCUAGCUUUGAAUUGCUAAUUAGCUUGUGAUCCAUCAAGUUGGAGUAUCACCACAACGAGGACUAGUUUGCCAGAAAGCAAGUGAACUUCGGUAAAAAAUAUUUUGUCAUCUCUUGCCAAGGAUUAUCUAUUGAGAUUGUGAUUGUGAGUGAUUGGUUGGAUAUAUCUCUACUCUACAACGUCAGUAUAACAAUCACUCCCCACUCUUUUACUUUCUUGUUUAUCUUGCUAGUUGUUUAGCUUGUGUAGUCUAUUUCUUGUUUAGGAGUGUAGCUAGCCUUAAUUGUGCUUUGUUGUUGUGACUUAGUGUUUAGCCUUGUACUAAACUUUAGGUGGCUUGCAUAACUUAGUUGAGCUAGUGCUAGAAUAGCUUCGCCAUUUGUUUUACUAACCAACUUGACUAGUUGAGUUUGUAGAAAAUUUAAAUAGGCUAUUGACCCCACCUCUAGCCUUUUGGACCUUUCACAUUUAUGAUGACUUUCCUCAUGAAACAAUAGAGUCAAGCCCUUACCAACAAGAGGAGGCCCCCACAACCAGAUUUGAAAUUCAUUCAGAUCCUUCUCCUAACCUAGUUGUUGAGGAACCUCCCAUUGAGGGGACAUAUCACACUUUUAGGAAUAAUGAACCCCAUCCUCUUUCACACCCUUUCCAAUUUGAGGAUGACCUUUUUCUUGAUGUUGAUCAUCGAAACACCUUAGAACCUACUAAUUCAACAUCUUAUGCCUUGAAUUCUUGGAUGAGACAAUCCAUACCUGGCGAACUCAUAGAAGGAGAACCACUCUAUAUAGAAGACAUUUCUAACCACACUCUCUCUAUGUCCACACCAAAUGUCUCAUCCAAUUCAGUUCUUGAGCUCAGGGAAGAUGUCAUGUCAAUCUCCACAACAAUCAUGACCUAUCCUAAUCUUGUGGUGGACAUGGACUGUCAUGUGAAAGAAAGUACUCUCCCUAGAUCAAAAGAUUUUAUAGAUAAGCAUGAAAGUUAUUUCCUAACCAUGCUCAUACAAUUUUUUUUUGAAUCAUAUUAUAUCUGUAACAUCACAUGCAUAUGCUACAGCACCUUCUUGCUUCAUAUCCCUAAAAUCAUAAAAAGGGUUGUUGUAGAUAUUUUUAUAAAUAUUCAUGUUUUUACUUUAGCUUCAUAGUUCAAAUCGAAAAGGUUGGUGUUGGAGGGGAAACCACAUCACGAACAUUGGAUUCAUUUCAAAAGGUUUCCCAAAGGCAAGCUUUUGUCUUAAAACAAGCACUUUCGAGAGAUAACCCGUUCUUUCAUCAUUCAAUAAAAUUGUUCUUUUCAAAAAAAAUCCAUUUCCCAAAAAAUAAUUCUAGGAGUAAUAAUAUGACUUUUGUAAACGAGCUUAAGGACAUAUUUGUGAGAUUGCUCCUUCGGGUAUUUUUGGUCACUAAUCUUUUAGGUUUGAGAGAACAAAAAGAACGGAGGACUGAAGCACAAGGUAAAAUCAAUUGAACAAAAUUCAAUAAUGAAGCACUUUUAGUGAAGAGUGCUACCAUACCAACUUGAUUUUGCAUUUUAUAAAAUUCAAGUGUGGGGGAGCUACUCUAAAACAUCUCAUGACAUGCUUCACUCAUUUAUUUUGCCUUGGUUGUUUCUACCUUGUUUCACCUUUAUGCUUGCUCAUUAUACUAAAGUCAUAAUAUCUUUUAUUAAUCAUUUUUAUAUUUAAAAAGCUUUGCUUCCUAGAUUUUGUUUAGUUACUAAAAUUCUUUAAUAAUAAUAAAAUAAAAUAAAUAAUAAAUUUAUUUUCUGCACAAUAACUUAUUUUAACUUAGCCAUGUUUUUGAAUAAAGCGCUUACCUCUCCUGCUAAAAAAAUUAAUAAUAGUGUCUCUCAAUUCUAAACAAAAUCUUGGUCCUACCCUUCGGGUAUCCUUUAUCUAACCAUUCUAGCAACGAAGGGUGAAGAUUAUCUAAGAACAUCUGCACCAAGCUACAUCAUGAACUGGUGGAGGAACCUACACACAACUCCGUUUGACCACUUCCUUCCCACCUGUUUAUAUGCCUGCUCCUAUUUCUUUACAUGUUAAAAUCCACAAAUAACCAAGAACCACACUAAAAAUUAAAAUUUUAAAAAAGUGACAUGUUUAUAACAUUUGAGAUAGAAGCUUGCAUAAAGAUUAUUCCAUAUACAUAUACUUAUGCUUGUGGGAAAAUAUUUUAUAAGAAAACCAUAUUGACUAAGUUGUUGUGGAGUGUGACAUAGUUCUGGCUUAGAAAUCCUACUGGUUCUAUUCAAAGUGCUUGGAGACUUGAUCCCGCAGGUACAACCUCGGAGUAGACACCGACAGGCCAGGCUUCCUUCGAUCUACACCUCCACUCUAUAUCUCUCAAUCUAGUAGAAACUAGAAGAUCUAAUUCUACUCACAUUGGAUGCUAAGCCUAAAAAGAAAUUUUAUUUAGAGGAGAGGUAUUCCUUCGAGGGCUCCUCUCAACUCUAUGAUAAACUUGUCUCCUCCAGGGGCUAGGGGGUCUGGUUUUAUAGUCCCCUUAAGUGAACGUGAGCCAUUGGAUCAAACCGACAUUGAUUGGACGAUUAUCCUUGAUCCUUUAGGUCGGUGGAGCUUGGUCCGCGAAGAGAGUCCCGAUCCAACUCUGCAAGGGGGCGGGCGCCCAGGUCAACUGGGCGAGCGCCCAGUGCCUGGCCCCGUUCGGCCUCCGCUUCCUUCCCGUGGCUUCUAGAGUCUUCUAGAUGAUAGAAAAUUACACGGCACGUUAAUAUCUCUAUGUAAACCCGACGUGUGGGCCUUUCUUCCGUAUUUCCUGAUAACCCCCUGCAGAAAUAGACAAACACCAAAACUCGUAGAAUUCUAUUAGAUAAAACCCUAAGUUUGGAUGUUGGUUGCAUUUGGAUCCUUUUCUUUAUUUAUUUGAUGAUUAUAUUUGGUACUUAAGGACCGUCAACAAACUCCCCCAAGCUUACCUCUUGCUCAUCCCUGAGCAAGGAUGGAUUCAAGAGUUUCUGCAGUGGUUUCCUGCCUUAAAAGUAAGAUCUAAUCUCUGAGUUAGAGUAAACUGUUAAGACUUAAAACUUACACAUUUUACCUUUCACCAUGGGGCAUGUAACCGUCACUUGUGUCUUGAGCAGUUAAAAGAUAGAACGGUCAAGUCAAGCGCCAUGUCUCGUAUUCUUGAUCAACUAUAGCUCUGGAGUUUUUGUAGAUUUUCAAAUAAAACUCAGAGAUUCCUUGUAUGAUUCUCUCAGAUCUCUCUUUUGUGGUAUUUCUAGAUCCUUACCAAGGCAGUAAUGGUAUAUGCCUUCUCUCAAAGUAUGUGGUAUUUUUUGUAUAAGGCAUAGUGAUAUUGCCUCCUCUCUCACCCUACUCUAAUAAGGUAUUGAUAUCUGGAGCUCAUAGGUGGGAGAUAGCUAAUACAUACUUACAAGACAUUUAUUGCAUAGUCAAACAAUGGAUCCAGAGAAACAAGUCAAUAAGUCAAAUCAAGAUGUGCAUUUGUGGCGAGUGAAUAGUGUAUGGUGAUGAUGGUGAUAACAAUGGUGAAAGUCUAAUUCUACUUUUGCUCUUUUUAGGGGAUACAUACCUUUCUUGCACUUUGAAACUUUAUGAGGAGAAUGAGAUGCUCUAUAUUUUCUUUUUCUUUUCUCUCAGGUGGGAAUCUUGUACCCCUAAUUCUACUGUCAGACACUUAUCCAUUUUUACCUCUCGUCUCACUCUUUCUUUUCUUUCGAGGUUCCGGGCACUUGCCCCUUUUUAUUUCCUCGUAUUUAUCCUCUCUUUCUUCUUUUUUUUCUUUUUUUUAGAGCACUCAUUUCCUGAAAUAAUAUAGCAAGUGGUAGUUACCAAGAUAACUCGAGCAUUUAUUCCACAGGGAAUAACAGGGAUAGGAUAAUGUUUUUGGCUAUUCUCUCCCGAAUUAGGAGUAGAAUACUUUUGGGUGAAUCUGGAGAUGGAAAUGAGUGGAUGUAUGUGGAUGCAUACUUCCGGAGUAGAAGCAGCAUGUGUGAGAGAACGUGCAAGUGAAUCUUGAUUUUAACCGCAUGACAAGCUCCUAAGGGUCUACACGGCUUGACCACACUCAAUGCUUAUAAGCAGUAAAAAGUAAAUGUGUGGCUCAAAGUCUAGCAAGCAUGUAUAUAUGGCUGUGGUAGAAUUUUAAACUCUUAUUAUAUAGGAACUCAUCAUGUGUCAUUUUAAAGAUUUUUCAAAGAUAAAAUUCUCCAGAAUUCUAGCAUCUCUAGGAAUAGAUAAACAGCAGCUCAACCUUCCCAUAUCAUAUCCGUUAAUGACUUAGACUUCAGAUCAAGUACUCUUCCCACAAGUUCAGGUUU